AUGAAAAGACAUAACAACUUGAAGUUUCAAACCAAGCUUUUGCACCAUCUUUACAAGCUCAGCAUAUCCUUCCCAGUUAUAAUUCAAAGGUCCUUCUUUCUCCACCAAUCCCCCCACACGUCGACCAUGACUCCCUCGACUCCUGCAUUUUUCAAUGCAAAUAAACUAGCAUACAUCGUCCUCACUUUGUUGAAACUCCCUCCGAUCGAUAUGGUAUCGAGUGGUAGCAUUACAAAAACAGGUACACUCGAACCUUUAUGGCUAUGAGGGGCUACUAGCUCAUGAAGUUGUUGGAUGAAUUUUGUGAAUAGUGACGCCGAAAUAAGUAUAAUGAUGGUGACAAAGCCGAGGCAAGAGUUGGACUCUUUGUCCUUAAGUCGAAUUUGCCCAGCAACGGUGCCUACGGAUUUCGGCAAUCGACUCCCAAGAUACAACGGCUACACUUGUGUUUGUAGCACUCCAAAACAUAAGUACAACGAACCAAAUAUAGGCUUAUGUACUCCACAGAUGAAAUGAAAGAAAAUCAAAAUAAAUGAAAUGAUUUUGAUUUUGGAUAGAAGAGAGGAUGAGAGACGUUUUUGCAUAUCAAACUGUGAGGAAUAGGACACCCAAAGGGUCCUAUUUAUAGACCAUGAAGGGGUGUGGACGAAAUGGUUGAGGCCAAACCAUGCACCCUUUCCAAACAAUGCACCUUUAUGAAAAGGUGUCUAUUCACUAAUGGUUGAGGCCUUUUUCGUAAUUUCUCAUUCAUCCGAUAUUGGUUUGUGCGCCCCGAAGCGGCGAAGUGGCAAACAAUUUUGUCUAAACGGAUUGAGUCGAGCUUUUGAGUAUUUGGCCGAAUUCGAUACGAACUUUAAUCGAUUUUCAAUUCUCAAUUUAUUUAACCAAUAUCCAACAGAAGUCUCUCACUUUUCUCACUUUUUCUUCCUUGUAACAAUGAAAAUUGAGUCGCUUCGUGCAUUGCACUCUUUGCAUGGAGCUUGCACGACAAUGGCUUAGUUUGAGCAAAACUUACUAUAGUUGAAAACUCGUCGUGAGUUUUUAAACCUCGAUUAUCUUUUACAUUGAUAAACGAAAUUGAGGAGCGAAGUGCAAAAGCCAUAGAAAAGGGAGAUAGGAUUAAUGAAUGAAGACUGCGAAAUUAUGCGUAUAUUUAUAAAGAUAAGUUCUACGUUGGAUUUAUAAAGUAGGCAAUUUUGGUGUGCUCUGCUCUUGUUUGAUAUUUUGUGAUAUUUUGAAGGAAAUUUCAUGUCAAUGUCUUAGAGGGGUGAAGGAUUAAUCAUUAAUGACGCAAUGAUCCUAACUUCUCGAACAAUAAUGUAAAAUAACUGAAAAAAAUAGUAAGAUUAUACGGGAGAAUUAAUGUUACAAAAUUAAAGUUACAAGAUUAUACGUAGAACUAGCGUGAAUAAAAAAAUCCCAAAAUAUGGUCCAUAUCCUGUAUUGCGAGUAGUCGGUAAGAAAUUAGGUAAAAAAAUUCGAUACAAUACAUAUAGCCAGCUCGGCCCCCUGUGAUACAGGGCCCUCAAAGAGAAUUGUCCUUGGUAUAUCUAUAUCAAAACCUAUCUAUCUAAUUGAAAAUAUCUCAUUUAAUUUUUCUACGCGUCAAGUUAAAAUUUUCAAAUUUUCUACGCGUCGACUUGGUGUAUCACAAGUGGGCCGCUUUCCUUUGGCCACUCCAAUUAAAUCCCACAUAUGUGGAUGAAAAAAAAAGCUCUUCAAAUAUUUUAGUUCACACUACUUUUUAGUUGAUUUUUAGAUAUGACCCACUAAUGAACAUUUCCAUUACUAGUCUAUCAAAAAGUAAUUAAAUAAUUCAACAAUGAAUAAUAAUUAUGGAAAAAUAAAGACCUUUCAAUAAAUGUGAUCGACAUCAUUUUCACAUGAUGUAGUUUAUCAAAGAAAAUAAAAAGACAUCAAUCUUGGUAUAUACCAUGUGGUGAGUCUUAUCCAACUACUCGACAUUGAUAUUUCAGUUUGAUUCACUUAUGUUGAUUGUUCUAUAUGUUGUUCUCAUAUCUAUCAAUACUUAGUUUGUGGAGCUUAUUCUAUGUUAUCAUCAACAUUAAUGUGUAGAAUUUAAAUAUUUGAUCGUCUCAAGUAUAAAUGAAUUUAAUCAUCUUCCUAUCAUAACAAAUAAUUUACAUACAUAUGUGUCACAAUUUCGAGUAAAAAAUAUUAAGGGUGAACUCGAAUAAUACAUAUAAUUAUUUUUUCAUAUUCAUAAUAUAUGAAAAAAAAGGAACUUUUCCACUUUUACAGGGUGAGAAACAAGAAAUAGAUUUUGAAAUAGACAUAUAAUUAUAUAGCUAGCUACUAUAUAUUUUCUUUUAUUUUUAUUUUCACCAUUAUAUAAUUUUAUUAAUACUUAGAAAUAUUAUUUUUUCUAUUUACCUCCAACUAAACUAUGAUAUUCAGGUUUAGAUUCACAAUCAACUGGGCAUCUAACCAAAAACAAAACAUAAUUAUUAAUUAUUAAUAUUCAGCAGUCAGAUUAACUAAUUAAACUAAAUUAAGGGUAGAAUAUAGAAUUAAUAAUGAAAUUGUUUAAAAUGGCCACUUUUCCGCUUUGGGUGAGUCUUGCGCCCACUUACCCACGUAAGCUAACGGCUUGGGCGAGAGGUCCGGGCCAUUACAAAAAAAUGCGCAUUUUUUUGUAACGACCCGAACCUCUUGCCCAAGCCUUUAGCUUAAGUACUGUCCGCUUUGGGUGAGCCUUGCGCCCACUUACCCCUCACGACUUUUUGUCGCAUUUCCCAGGAUUCGAACUCUUGACCUCUACGUAAGAGAGACUUAAGUUGAAUCUUGGUACUAAUUUGACAACUUGCCCAAUUGGUACCAGGACAACUUGCCCAAUUGGUACCAGGAUUUAACUUAAGUUUCUCUUAUAUAGUGAUCAAGAGUUCGAAUCCUGGGGGACGCGAAGAAAGCUGUGAGGGAUAAGUGGGGGCAAGGCUGACCCAAAGCGGGCAGUACGUAAGCUAACGACUUGGGUGAGAGGUCUGAGUCGCUGUAACGCCCCGAACUCUUUUUCAUAUUAUUAUAUUAUUUUUAAAUUAAAAUAAGCUUGAGGUGCUACCAAAACUUUUCUCUAUCUAAUUUAAGCGGAAAUAUAUCAAAAAUACUCGAUUUGAAAUUAUUAAUUUAAAAUUUAACAUAACAUAUCGAAUGCUUGAACAAUAUAUUAAAUAACAUGCAUACAAUAUUCUUCAAACAAAAGUGGACAAUUAUCUUUCUAGAUAAUUUACUUGACGAUCCCAUUAGCAUCGCUCUGUCAAUUUUCCACACGUCCACACGACUCAUUCUCAUCUGAAAAUAUUGUAAGAGUGAGUAUUUUGAAAACACUCAGUAAGAAUAUGUGCAUAUUCUUAUAACAUUAUAUAAACAUAAUAUGCAUAACAUACCGACAUGUCUUAAAUUUAGAGCAAACUGUUCGCGAUUCCAACAGCUCAAGGAAUUUCUUAAGAAUUUCCAUAUCCCGUAGGAUUUAAUCAUAUUGACCCAAAGGUCCAUCCCGUAGGAUUUAAUUUCUUUUCUUUGACCCGACGGUCCAUCUCGAAGGAUUUAACAUAUAAUUAGACUCGAAGGUCAUAUAGUAUUUCAUGCCAAAUUUACAUAAAUAUCAAGGAUAAGAAUUUACCACUUGCACCAUGUAUUCUUACCUCAAUUUGAUAUUAAAUAAAUCUGAAAAUAUUUUGUGAUACAAGAUAAUAUCCUCUAUUGAAAAUUGUGUGUGUUCUCGUGUAUAUGUAAUGAGAACAAAACAAUAUUUCUCACACCUUUUUAUACAUAAUAUUCACUUGGAAUCCAAACCAUCACACGAUAGGGAAUUCAAUGGUUAAUUAACUUGCUCUUUAUUUCAAAUCCAUCAUGGUGAAAAGUUGAAAAGAUUUAUAUAUUAAUUAAAAGAAAACAUGGUUGGUUUUACGUUUUUUUUUUCAACUCCCAAAACAUCCAACACUUCAUUUUAUUAUUUAAUAUUUACCUAUCAUUAUUACAUAUAUAUUUUAUUAAUAAAAUAUAGGAUUGGAAUAACUUUCUUUCUAUUAAGAUAACUCAAUUAUGGUUAGUCCAAAAUUAUUUCUUCUAGAGCCAAUUUAUGUUAUUUAGCAUGAUCUGCAAAAUGAAUAUAAUAUCGAUAUAUUUUUUUUUAUCAACUUUUGAAAUACUUAAAUAUUUGAACUAAAUAACUUACGAUACUUUCAAAAAGUAUACGUAUGCAAAAUAAGUUAUUUAUACAAAUAAGUGAGUCACGUGUCACUUCAACUUUUUGGGAACUUAGUGUGACGACAAGGCUUGACAUGGACUAUUUUAUUCGCUUAAUGACUAAAAUUAAGUUUAUGCUCAUAUGAAAAAUAGUACGAAAAUUUUGGGAUGUUACAUCCCUUCCCCCUUAAAUUAAUUUCGUCCUCGAAAUUAUCUUAUUUUUUCGAUUUCUCCUCUUUCUAGUGACUUGAUAAGUUCUAUCAAUGUAUAUCAUAUAAACAUUCUCUUAAACAGUAAAUAAGCUCAUCCACAUAUUUAAAAACCUUUGUCUCUACAUAUUUUACAACAAAUACGUGUUAACAAAAUAACACAACUAAACUGCCAACUUUAUCUCAUUUCCUACAAUUUCACCUUUUUAAACAAACAAAACAAAAAAUAUAUAUAUAUAUAUUUUUUCAUGUAGACUACCAAGUCUUCAAAAUAAAUUAUUGUUCUAAGAAAAUUUUUUUUAUACAUGUAAAUUUAUACUUGCCCAAUUGGUACCAAGAUUCAACUUAAAUCUCUCUUAUGUAGAGGUUAAGAGUUCGAAUCUUGGGGGACGCGAAUAGAGCCGUGAGGGAUAAGUGGGCGCAAGGCCCAUACAAAGUGGACAGUAAGUAAGCUAACGACUUGGACGAGAGGUCUAGGUCGUUACAAAAAAACAUCCGGGUCUCUAUACCUAAGCCGUUAUCUUACGUACUGUCCGCUUUGGGUGGACCUUGCGUCCACUUACCCCUCACGACUUUCUGUCGCGUCAGUCAAGAGUUCGAAUCUUGGGGGAUGCGACAGAAAGUCCGUGUCGUUACAAAACAAGGUCAAUUGAUACUAGGAUUCAAUUUAAGUCUUACUUAAGGGAAAUGUUAUGAGUUCGAAUUCUGGGAGACGACAGAAAACUGUGAGGGGUAAGUGGGCGCAAGGCCCACCCGAAACGGACAGUACGUAAGCUAACGGCUUGGGUAUAGAGAUCCAGGUUAUUACAAAAAAUGCACCUUUUUUUGUAACGGCCUGGGUCUCUGUACCCAAGCCGUUAUCUUACGUACUGUCCGCUUUGGGUGGGCCUUGCGCCCAUUUAUCCUUCACGGCUUUCUUUCGCGUCUCCCAAAAUUCGAACUCUUGACCUCUACAUAAGAGAGACUUAAGUUGAAUCCUGAUACUAAUUGGGCAUUCUGUAACGCCCCGAACUCUUUCUCAUAUUAUUAUAUUAUUUUUAAAUUAAAAUAAACUCGAGGUGCUACCAAAACUUUUCUCUAUCUAAUUUAAGCGGAAAUAUAACCUUUUAUUUUAGUGAUCAAAAUGUGGUCGACAAUUCAAUAACGUCAAAAUAAUAAUUUAAAAUAAAAUCUUGAAAUAUCACAUCUCAAACUGUAAAUUAAAAUUCAACAUAAAGUGUCGAAUGCUCGUACUCUAAGAAAAAAAUAUUAAAUACCAUGCAUAAAAAUUAAAACAAUGAUAUUCUUUAAAAUAGAAUUUGAUGAUUAUUUUUCUAGAAACUUUACUUGAUGACCCCAUAAGCAUCACCGGUCAAUCUUCCACACGACCCAUUCUAAUAUGAAAAGUAUUGUAAGAGUGAGCAUUUUGAAAAUAUUUAGUCAAAAUACGUGCAUAUUCUUAUAUAAUUAUAUAAACAUAAUAUGACAUAACAUACAGACAUAUUUUAAAUUUAGAGCAAACUGGUCGCGAUUCCAACAGCUCAAGGAAUUUCUUAAAAAUCUCCAUAUCCUGUCGGAUUUAACUUCUUUUCUUUGACCUGACGGUCCAUCUUGAAUGAUUUAACAUAUAAUUCAACCCGAAGGCCUUAUAGUAUUUCAUGCCAAAUUUACAUAAAUAUCAAGGAUAAGAAUUUACCACUUGCACCAUGUAUUCUUACCUUAAAUGUUAUAAAAAAUUCUGAAAUAUUCCUUUGAGAGAAAAAAAAAAAAAAAAGACAGAAUGUUUGUAGGAAAAUAAGAACCAACUUGUGAAAUUUUAAUUAUGGCUGGUAGAUAAAAUAACCCUCUUUUUUUUUUUUUUUUUUUUGACAAGUGUAUGUUUAUCUUAUGUACGGUAAAGGAAAUAGAAUUCUUGCAUGCAGAAUAUAUAUAUAUAUAUAUAUAUAUAUAUGCUUGAGCCAAUUUAUGUUUUUAAUUACGAGCUACAAAAUGAGUAUAAUAUCGAUAUAUUUUUGAUAACUUUUAAAAUACUUAAAUAUUUGACCCAAAUAAAUUACGAUAAAUUAAAAGUAUACGUUUGCGAAAUAAACCAUUUAUGCAAAUAAGUGGGACGUAUUUAUCACUUCAACUUUUCGACUUUAGUGUGACGACAAUGUUGAACAUGAAUUAUUUUAUUUGCUAAAUUACUAGCCCACGUGGAAAAAUUAAAAAUUCGGAGUGUUACAUCCUUAUCCUUUAAAAUAAUUUCGUCCUCGAAAUUGCCUUGUUUAGCCAAAUAGCUCUGGAUACUUGGCUUUUAUUUCUUAUUUUUUUUUCCCAAGUAGCCUCUUCGACUCCAUGAUUUUUCCAUCGAACCUUAACUAAAGCAAUUUCUUUAUUCCUUAAUGCAUGUGUUUUCCUUUCGAUAAUCUCCAAAGGAGUCUUCAUAUAUUAGAUCUUUUUGUACCUCCAAUGAAUCAUAGCUUAUCACAUGUUUGGGAUCAUGCACAUACUUUCUAAGCAUCGACAUGUGGAAUACAUUAUGUAUUGCUGAUAGUGUAGGUGGCAAUGUUAGAUGGUAUGCUACUUUCUCAAUUCUAUCUAGAAUUUCGAAAGGAACUAUGAAUCGAGAUCUCAACUUUCCCUUCUUGCCAAAUCUAAGAACUCCUUUUAUGGGUGCCACUUUUAGAAACACUUUCUCAUCGACUUCAAAUUCUAUCGAUUUUCUCCGUUGAUCUGCAUAGGUCUUUUGUCUAUCUUGAGCAGACUUUAUUUUGUCCCUAAUUUUAUCAAUUGCUUGCAUUGUCCUUGCAAUAAUCUCUGGACCUAAAAAUCAUUUUUCUCCGACUUCAUCCCAAUGAACUGGGGAUCUACAUCUUCUACCAUAGAGAGCUUUAUAAGGAGUCAUGCCAAUAGUAGUCUGGAAGCUAUUAUUGUAUGCAAACUCCAUUAAUGAUAGAUGUGACUCCCAACUACCUCCUAAAUCCAAGACACAUGCUCGGAGCAUCUCUUUUAAGAUUUGAAUAGUCUUUUCAGACUAUCCAUCAGAUUGAGGAUGGUAGGCAGUGCUAAAAUUUAACUUUGUCCUCAUAGCUUUCUGUAUGCUCUUCCAAAAUUUAGAAGUGAAUCUUGGUCUCGAUCUGAGACGAUGGAUGUUGGAAUUCCAUGCAGCCUGACAAUUUCCUUAACAUAUAAUUGAGCAAAUUGAUCCAUACUAUAGUUCAUUCUUACUGGAAGGAAAUGGGCGGACUUUGUCAACCUGUCUACAAUUACCCAGAUGGCAUCGUGUCCUUUCAUUGACUUCGAAAAACCUACUACAAAAUCCAUAGCUAUUUGCUCCCAUUUCCGCUCUGGAAUUUCCAAUGGAUUUAAUGGUCCUGAUGGCCUUUGAUGUUCUGCUUUAACUUGCUGACACACAAUACACUUCUCAACAAAGAGACCAAUCCUCCUUUUCAUAUUCUGCCAGCAAAAGGUAUCGCAGAGGUCUCGAUAAAUUUUAGCGUAGGGUAGUUUUGCUCAUUUUGUUUUAAUUGUCUAGAGGCAUAUGCGAUCACCUUCCUAAACUGCAUCAGUACAUAUCCCAAACCUUGUUUGGAUGCAUCACUGUGUAUAACAAAUCCAUUUGAACCCUCUAGUAUAAUUAAAACUGGAGCUGUAACCAAUUUCUGUUUCAAUUCUUGGAAGCUCUCCUCACAUUUCUCAGUCCACUGAAAUUUUACACCCUUUCUGGUUAAUUAGAUCACCGGCCUGGCUAUUUUGGAGAAUCCCUCAAUGAAUCUCCGAUAGUAACGGCUAGUCCCAAGAAACUACGAACUUCGCCUACAUUUGUUGGUCGGGACCAGUUUGUUAUCGCUUCAACUUAACUAGGGUCCACUUCAAUUCCUUGUGCCGUAACCACAUGACGAAGAAAAACUAUAUGAUCAAGCUAAAAUUCACAUUUCUUGAAUUUGACAUACAACUUUUCCCUUCAUAGUGUCUCCAACACUAUUUUGAGUUGUUCUUCAUGUUGAUCCUUAUUCCUUGAAUACACCAAAAUGUCAUCAAUGAAGAUAAUGACAAAUUGACCUAAAUACUGAUGGAAUACCUUAUUCAUUAAAUCCAUAAAUACUACAGGGACAUUUGUUAAUCCAAAGGGCAUUACUGUGAACUCAUAAUGACCAUAGCGAGUUCUAAAUGCUGUCUUUGGAAUGUCAUUUGCCUUCACCUUCAACUGAUGAUAGCCUAACCUCAAAUCAAUUUUGGAAAAUACUGUUGCACCUUGCAACUGAUUAAAGAGAUCUUCAAUCCGAGGAAGAGGAUAUUUGUUCUUGAUUGUUAAUCAAUUCAGUUCUCUAUAAUCAAUACAUAAUCUCAUUGACCCAUCAUUCUUCUUCACAAACAAAACCGGUGUGCCCCAAGGAGAUGUACUUGGUCGGAUGAAACCUUUAUCCAACAACUCAUGCAACUGUAUCUUUGAUUCUUGUAGUUCUUUUGGCGCCAUCCUGUAUGGAUCUCUAGACACUGGAGUUGCACCGGGUACGAGGUCAAUUGUAAACUCCAAUUGCCUAUCUGGUGGCGCGCCAGGUAAGUCAUCAGGAAAUACAUCAAUGAAAUCUCGUACAAUUGGCACAUUACCAAUCGUAAGCUCUGAUUGUUGAGUUCUAUGUAUACUCACUAAAAAUCCUUGACAAUAUUUUUUCUUUAACAUCUUUUCUACUUUCAUGGCCGACACAAGUCGAGGUAAAGACUUAACUCGUACAGCGAAAAAUUGAAACUCAUCCUCCCCAGGCCUCUGAAAAACUACUUCCUUUUCGAAACAUCGAAUGGUUACGUGAUUGCUUCCCAACCAGUCCAUUCCUAGAAUAAUGUCAAAGUCUUUCAUGUCUAGGAGGUGUAGAUCAGCUACAAAUUCUUUUCCUUCAAUUACUAAUUUUACUGCCCUAGCAAUCUAAUUGGUAUUCAAAAUUCUACCGGACGGAAUAGAAAUUUCUAGAACACUAUCAGAUUUUUCACAUGUAGUACAUGAUUUAGUAAUAAAUGUGAUGGAGAUAAAUGAAUGAGUAGCUUCGGAGUCUAUAAGAAUAUAUGCAGGUAGUUUAGAUAUUGAUAGAAUACCUACCAUUACAUUUGGAUCCUCUGUUGCCUCUUCUCGGGUUAAAGCAAAGACUUUGGCUUUUACUUUCUUGCCCUGUUCAUUAUCCUUCUUAGAUGGGUAUGCCUUGCAAUUCGGAGCAAAAUGACCUUCUUGGCCACAUCGAUAGUACAUAUUUUUCCUAAACAAGCACUCCCCUCCAUGAGCUUUGUUGCACUUUGGGCAUCGUGGAAUAACUUUAUUUGGUUUACUUGAUCCUGAUCCUGAUCCUAUAUUGGACUUUCUUAAAUUGUCCAAAUUCCUUCCCUUUAUUCGAUCCAUUCCACUUUCAUUUUCCAUAUGAUUCAUUAUUCUUCUCAGUCAUCCGAUCUAUUUCUAGACGAUCAGAAAUUGACUGCGGUCAUUGAAGCACUUCACUAUAUGUGGUCGUAUGGUGAGUGCCAUGGUUCCUCCAAUCUCUGGACGCAGGCCUAAUUCAAACCUCCUAGCCUUCUUUGGCUUGGUAUCAACAAGAUGUGUAGCAUACCUAAAAAGUUGUUCAAACUUCCUUUCAUACUCAUCAAGCGACAUAUUUCCUUACUUCAGCUGUAGGAACUCUGUCUCUCUCCGAUCCCUCAGUGAUUGGGGAAAGUAUUUUGCUAUUACCUCUUCCUUGAAUUGUGUCCAAGUCAUAGCACGUUGUUGCGCUUCCGUUCUAGUGCGCGAAGCAGACUCCCACUAGUAGCCUGCUGUUCCGACUAGCAUAAACUCGGUACAUGAUAUCUUUUGUGCGUCAGUGCAUGCCAUGUGUUUGUAGAUUCGUUCUAACCCUCUUAACCACUCCUCAGCUGCCAAAGGGUCUGCCUUGCCGUCAAAAGAAGGAGGUUUGAAAUGGCAAAACUAGGGAUGGCAGUGGGCCGAGUCGAGCCGGCUCGGCUCGUUAACCCACGAGCUCGGCUCGAGCUCGUGGCUCGUUUUUCACGAGCCAAGCUCGGGCUCAUUGCUCGUGGGCGAGCUCAUGAAUUUUAUUUAUUUAUUUAUUUUUAUUUUUGCAAAUUUUUCAAAUUUUAUUGAUAAAAUUUUAUUUUUUCCACAUUUUUGGACGGGACCCCCCCGCUUGGCUCCACAAUUGAACUCGUGUUGUUAGCAUUUGUCGAUCCAUUCUGAGAAGCUGGUGCGGGUGCUUGAUUCCUACGAAGGUCAUGUACUGCCUUCAUCAGAUCCCUAAACAUGGUUGCUUGAUCCUGUUGUCCUGUCAUUUUUUUUAAAUUAACAAAAUAGAUUUUUGUCUUAGGAAUAUUGGACAACACAGUAGCUCAAAGGAAAUUAUUAUUAUAUAUUUUUUUUAUUAGUACUCCUUGAGAUCAGGAUAUAAAAUAGUUCGACAAUUUUUUUUUUCCAAUAACAUAAAAGUAAAGAUAUCACGGUACUAAGGAAAUGAAAUCUAAGUUUCUAAUCCCUAUGAAUUCUACGAAUCUUCUUUAAUGGAGCUUCAUCUUCGGAGGAGUCUUCUGCUUCAGGCCCGAACUCUACGUCUAUCUCAACCAGUGGCUCAGGUUCAUGCUCAUGAUUGUUCUCUAACUCCAGCCCAAAGUCAUCCUCAUGCUCCCAUUCAGGAUCUCCCUCUGGGUCCGAUUCAAUUUGAGGUUCUGGCUCGGGCUCUUGCUCAUCACCAAGCUCAUUUCUUACCUCCAGUUGGGGUUCUAAACUUUCACUCCACCUAUUUAGAAGGGUCUGACAAUAUAUAUCAAACUCAAUCAUGUUUGGAUGCUCUGGGGGGUUACCUUCUAACAUCUCGUUCCUAACCAUAACUCCAAUGCCCCCCCAUUGAGGUAGAAGUGAGUGUACGAGAUUAUUCACAGCCUCAAUAUGCGUGAUCUCUAGUCCUGCCUCCACAGUUGCUAUACAUCUUUCAUAGAUGUCUUUCACGUGUUCGACAAGUGGACAAGUUGGGCCAGUCACGAAAUUCUCAUAAGACUGAAUAAUGGACCUACGGAUCAAUGCUGCUCUAUAAGCCGUGGCCUUUCUAGCAGUCUGAUAAAUUCUAACCAUGUCUGUCACAUAAGGGUCCAAUUAUAUUUAUUUUUAUUGUGAUAUCAAAGUACAUGUUAUGCUUUUGUGAUUUUAAUAAAAUUUCUAAUCAAUAUACCUUCAUGUAUAAUAACAUGCAUAACAUAUUUCUUCCUAGACAUUCAUUUAUAAUCAUUUCAUAGAAUUCAAGCUUAAAUGAUACAUAAAGUCACGCUUGAAAAUAAAAUGAAACGUAACAUUUCCUCCAUACCUUGAGUCCAUCGGACGGGAGUAGAUUGACGAGCGUUAAAUGCCAUGGGUCUUAUCAUCAUCUGCUCAAACCGCUAUAUUAAAUCAUCCUGCAUGUUGGAUUGAUUUCCCAUCCUGCUCGAAUUGGAUGCUUUACAUUCUGACAUUCUCACAAUUUUCUGCCUCACCAAAAUUUUCACUCGGGAAUCACACAAUUUCAAGCUUUUACCCUCAAUUAAACUCACAACUCAGCCUUUUACCUCACAAUUGCUUCCAGCCAGUAUUCUCAAGAACAAUUUGUGGCGUUGAAUUCGUGGGAUAACAAUUAAUUGUGCAAAACUUAAUAAUCAGGAAGUUUAAAGGACUAAGAAAUAAAUAAAAUUUUUGGAGGGAUUAAUUUUUUUUACUCGUGAACAGUACGGUACGAACGUGAACAGUGUCGGUGAACAAUAAUUUUUUUUUAAUACAAAAAACACAAACGAAUUAAACUACUAAAACUUUUUAGAUCUAGACUCAAAAACUAAUGGAAACACGAAGAACACAAACAAAGACUCAAAACAAAGAAAAUCAAAAGUAUAUAACUUUGAAUCUGGUGCCUAAAACUCUGAUACCACCUGAUGUAAACCCGGUAGCAGCGAUCACUAUCGAACCCAUAGAAGAUGGCACAAACUCCAAGAAAGACAGAAAACAAAGUUUAGGACGCGAUUCACAAAUUUGCGAACCAAACAAUCAAUAGUAUACUAAACUAUUGAUCUUUUGAUCACAAAAUUUAUAAACUUAGUCCGAUUUUUGGAUUUAACCCAAUUAAUAAUUAAACCAAACAACCCCAAGAUAACAAAGACACGAAUGACCUUUUGAUUAUAAAACUAAUUGAAUCUUACCUGAGAUUGAAUGCCACAAGAUCACGAGACCUUGAUAAGUUCGGUUUUUCCGUGCAAGAAAAAAGAUUGGAAGCAAAAUCGCCUCUCGAAUUAAAUUCUCAAAUAUCAAGUCUGAAUUACAACUGGCAAAUAAAAUCCUAUUUAUAUGGAAACUAAAAAACCCUAAUUCUAGAAGGAAAAACAUACAAAUUAUGGUAAUAAAAUAAUAAAACUACAGUUCUAAAGGAAUUGGGAAACUCGCGAAAAAUAAAAAUCUCUGCUCUCGAAUGACCUAUGCUACCGCAUGGUUAAACAUAAUGCGGUUGCAUGGUUCUAACUGAACCUGCCAAUGGUCAUGCGGCCGCAUGCUUCUUCCUCCUUGCGGUCGCAUGGCUUGUCGUUUUGGCUUGAAUUUUGAUUUCUUCCACAAGUUGCUCCAGCCUUUUAGGACUUCAACCCCAUCACGAAACUUGACCUUGACUUACCAACUUUGCUCUUUUGAACUCCCUUCCUCGAACUUGCAUUUGUGUGCUCUCUAUUAACCUCUCGAAGUCUCAAACCCGACUUUGGCUUCUUCCAAUCUAUCGUCAAAUUAUCGAUAAUUGGUGGCGCAUCCCGUAUCACAUCAUAUAAGCUGGCCAAACAUCAUUUUGAACCAAAUCCCUUGUGACUUACUACUUAUAAGCACUUAAAAGUUUAGCCAAGCAAGCACUAAGUAAAAAAAUUCAUUUGUUUGUUGAGAUGAAAAAAAGGAAUUUAGAAAAGGUUAAGAGAGUUAGGAAGUUGAGAUUACAUAUUACUUUAAAAAUCACUAAGUUCUAUUAGGAGUGUGAGAUAAUUAUUCUCACAUCCUAACAUUAACACUACAUUUAUCAUAGUGCAUGUGAGCAAGCAAGAAAUUCAAGGAGCACAAGGAAGACAAUUUGGUGGUGAGGUGAGGGAAAACCUGUCGCACACACAAUUAGGAAGAAGGAAAGAGAAAUAGAUGAGACGAAGACAAUUGGACUCCAUGAAAGGAGGUAAGAUUAGCUUUAAUAGUGAGGUGAGUGGGAGCAUUUGAAGUUGAAAUGUUGAUAGAGAGAGGGCAAGGCUGGGGCAGAGUGAGUAUUUACUGGUAACUAGUCAAAAGUAAACGUGCAACAAAUGUGCGUUGCACGUUGUUUUGAAAUACUUUAUAAGUGCGUAAAAAUAAUAUUUGAAGAUGCAUGAAUUAGAGAAAUAAUUGUGAGAAAUUAUGUAUGUGAAAUCAACUUUUUAUUCAAUGAAAAUCUCUUUGUACAUUAUAUUUUUUUGUGUGAUUGGGAGGCAUCAAAGAUUGUGAUAUAAACUUCUUGAUUACCAUCUGAAACUAUUAACCUCAGCAAAUAUUUUCUAGUAAAAUCUAUGUCCUUAAUUUCACAUCUUGUACAUGUGACAGUUUUUUUAUUCGGCUCUGGGUGAACUCUUGCACCACACCCAUUACAUACUUCAUACCAUGGGUUGUUCUUGUUUUGAACCUUUACGAUCUUGCCUAUGAAAGCACAAUAAAAUUUAGUCACAUUAUUUGUCACAAUAUCAUCUAAUUUUAUGAUACCAGCAUCCAUCAUCUUCUUUGUAGGCCCCAAUAGUUUGUACAAUCCUCCAUCACAUAGCAAUAAUUUGGUGCUGUAAAAAAAGAAAAAAUAAAUAAUUUUCGAACUAUCUCAAAAUCUGUCUACACUUAGUGGUAAUGUAAAUAUAAUCAUGAAGAUUGAAUAAAUCAUGUUCACUUAUUUUUAAUAGCAUUAGUUUCUUCCCGUUGUGGAUUGAUCUCGAUGAGCUUAUAAAGGCUAAUUGGAAAAAGGCACAUGAAAUUUCAAACAUGCCAAAUGCUUCAUGCUAAAAUGCCUUACAAUUUAUUUAUAUUGACUUGAAUUUAUAACCAUCCUGUUUUAGCCUCGUAAAACGUCAAGUGUGGUCCGUGGCAAAACCUGUUGAACAUUCAUCUGCUUCCUUCAACUUUAAAUUCAACUAAUAUGACUUUUUAAUCCAGAUUUUAGAAACACAUAAACAUAUGUAGGAGAUGAAAUAUUUAUGCCACAUGAGUACUUGAACCUCGAAGAUGAACUCAGAAUUAUUAGAUAUAAGGGUUAUCAUAGUAGAUAUAUUACCUCUUUGUCAACUAGGAUGAGCUUCAAAAGAUCAAAUUUUUUGGUGUUGUUGGAAUAAGAUUCCACUAAACCCUUUCAAACUACCAUCACUUUAAUGGACCAACCAUUUUCAUACGCCGAUAAAUCUCUUAUAGCCUUUGAUUCCAUGAUGCGGGAGAGCAGAAUAUUUGAUGAUUGAGAUGUAACAACUAAUUUGAAAAAAAAAAAACUAAUAAUAAUAAUAAAUAGUUGAGUGAUUAGUGAUCAAUUCAUUUACAUCUAAAACUCAUGAGAAUGAGAAAAGUCAAAAUAAUUCAUGAACAUGAAAUCUAAUUAAUUUAAAUCAUUGGAUAUAGGAAAAUUAUAAUUUAUAUACAUUUAGAUGAAAUGUAUAUAAAUUAUAAUUCAUUUUCUCUCUCUUAUGUAGAGAUCAAGAGUUCGAAUCUUGGAGGAUGCGACAGAAAGCCAUGAGGGGUAAGUGGGUGCAAGGCUCAUCCAAAGUGGACAUCACAUAAGCUAACGACUUGGGCGAGGGGUUCGGGUCGUUACAGGUGAAGCGCGGAAUGCUAAAAGGAAUUAUGUCCGUGAGACUAAGCACCCCCUACUGACCAGCUAUAUUGUGGGCCACAGUUCUCGGAGGAAUCAAGUUCUACCUAUUGUCUUCACCCAAGAGGACGCUGAAGGAGUUCACUACCCCCACUGCGAUGCACUUGUGGUGAGAGCGAUCAUAGUCUGGAAUGGACUCAAACGAAUGUUAGUUGACAACGGUAGCUCUGUCAACAUCCACCUUCGACAAGAUGAUACUGGACCAUGAGUUGAUGCCCACCACCACUCCCUUGUACGGAUUUGCCGGAGAUAGCAUCACUCCGAGGGAAAAGAUCACCCUUGCAGUAGAAAUGGGGAAGUCUCCCCAAACUUCAAUGAACUUCAUGGAGUUCCUAAUUGUUGACAGUCGAUAGGCCUACCACGGAGUAUUGGGUAGGCCAGCUCUAAAGGAAUUGAGAGCCAUCACCUCCAUCCACCACCUAUGCAUGAAAUUUCCAACGAAAAAUGGGGUGGUAAUAGUGAGAGGCGACCAAAGAUGUUCGAGAGAAUGUUAUCUAAGCUCCAUCAGAAAGGUAGAGCCUCGGGACGUCCAUGUGAUUAUCGUCGACAUAGUCAUGGCUAAUGUCCCAGGUGAUGCUUCCUUCGAACAGGAAAAUGUGGAAAUGAUUGACGCAUCACCCAUUCCAGAAGUAUUGGUCAUUGAUGAGAUUGACCCCCGUAUAAUUGAACACGAACCUCAAGCAUCCCCAGUUGAGGAACUUGAAAGCUUCUCGGUGGACCCCAGAGACCCAUUCCAAAUUGUUGAAAGUGGAUAAAGGCUUGUUCAAUAGUUUGAAAGAAAAGAUCAAAGAUUUCUUAAGUAGGAACCUUGAUGUCUUUGCUUGGAGGCAUGAGGACAUGGUAGGCAUAGACCCUAAGGUCAGUUGCCACCGCUUGAAAAUUGAUCCUAAGGUUGCCCCGCACAGACAAAAGAGAAGAGCUUUCAACCCUGAGAGGUAUGAGGCCCUGAAGGAAGAAAUUUAGAACCUCAUCCAAAAUGGCUUCAUCAGGGAGGCCACCUAUCCGAGGUGGGUCUCCAACCCGGUUUUAGUGAAGAAACACAAUGAAAAAUGGAGGGUAAGCAUUGAUUUCACUAACCUCAACAAAGCUUACCCGAAGGACAGCUUUUCAUUCCCAAGGAUUGACCAACUGGUAGACUCCACGGCUAGGCACGACUUGUUGAGCUUCAUGGAUGCAUACUUCGGCUACAACCAAAUUCCCAUGCACUCGACUGAUGAGGAACACACCUCUUUUAUCACAUACAGAUGCCUUUAUUUUUAUAAGAUGAUACCCUUCAGGUUGAAAAAUUUCGGGACCACAUAUCAAAGGCUCGUCAACAAAAUAUUUGUGGAUCUCAUCGGCAAGACAAUGGAGGUCUAUGUAGAUGACAUGCUUGUGAAAAGUUUGGAAGCUAGGGACCAUGUAACGCACCUCAACAACACCUUCCAAAUCUUGAUAAUAUAUAGGACGAGGCUCAACCCCCUCAAGUGCGCUUUCGGGAUUACUUCUUGAAAAUUCUUAGGAUACAUGGUCAAGCAACGCGGAAUUGAAGCCAAGCCUGAGAAGAUUGAGGUCCUAUGCAAGAUGAGGUCGCCCUAAAAGCCAAAGGAGGUGCAAAGCUUGACUGGGCGAGUGGUUGCACUUAGUCGCUUUGUCUCCAAAGCUGUAGACAAAUGCCUCCCAUUUUUCAAAGUGUUGAAAGCUGGAAAGAAGUUCCAAUGGACCAAGGAAUGUGAAGAGGCCUUCCAGGGCCUGAAAAGGCACCUAGGGCAGGCCCCCCUCCUUUCCAAACCGAAGCCCAGCGAGAUUCUUUAGCUGUAUUUGGCUGUCUCCAAUGAGGCCAUCAGUACGGUUCUAAUUAGAGAAGAAAGGACCACCUAACUCCCCAUAUACUAUACAAGUAAAGCACUCUUAUUAUCGAAAACCCAUUACCCCGAUAUGGAGAAGCUCGUUUUUGUGCUAACAAACUUUUCCUUGAGGCAGGUACUUUAAAAGCCCAAUGCCUCAGGAAGAUUAUUGAAAUGGGCAGUGGAGCUAAAUAAAUUUGAUCUCGUGUUCAAGGUUAGGGCGGCCAUCAAGGGUCAAGCCUUGGCUGAUUUUGUGGCAAAAUUUGCCAAUUUACCCGAGGUGGAUGAAAUCAUGGAACAUACCGAGCCCCCUACAUGGAACUUAUUCGUGGAUGGAUCGGCUGGGGAUAUCGACUCAGGUGUCAGAGUUGUCCUCAUCAGCCCGAAAGGUCACAAGCUGAACUCCGCUGUGAGGUUCGAGUUCAAGGCCACUAAUAAUGUGGCAGAAUAUGAGGCACUUCUUGCAGGCCUUAGAUUAGCCAGAGAAAUGCAAGUAAAGAGGCUACUUAUCAAUAGUGACUCCCAGCUGGUCGUUAGCUAGGUGAACGACAGCUUCUCAGCCAGAGACAAAACCAUGGCCUCUUACUUGAAAAUUGUGAUGAACCUCAUCCCAUCCUUUGAAAAGUUUGAGUCGAUCCAGAUCUUCUACAUUGAAAUGCACAUGCGGAUGCACUCUCCAAACUUGCAAGUAGCAAGGACUCCGAACUACUCACAGUAGUUCUAAUAGAGCACCUCCUCAUACCAUUUACCUAGGCCCUCAAUGUGAUGUGGGUGGCUGGGACUCCUACCUGGGUGCAAACCAUCGUAGCCUACCUAAAGGACCAGGUACUUUCCACAAAUAAUUAUGAAACUUACAAACUAAGGAAGAGGUCAACUCAUUUCCUCUUCAUUGAUGAUGUACUCUACAAGAGGAGCUUCUCCUCUCUACUCAUUCGAUGCGUGGGAGGAGAAGAGGCUACCUACACCUUAAGGGAGACAAUAUAUUCUACACGAUGAACUCAUCAGUUCUGAAUAAAAUUAAAUUCUCAUUUAAUUAUCAUGUACAAUAUAUUCUUUAUAAAAAGACAAACAUAUGAUUUCUGGAAAAUAAAGAAAUAUAUCGAAAUUAUCUGUAAUUUAGAAAUAGCGACCAAACCCAAUAAAUGAAGAGUCAUGGCACAUGGAUAUGUCAUUGUUGGAGGUCUUGGUCUACAGGGCAUGGGGACUGCAAUUUGUUUUUUCUACUCCAAUAUCAUUUUUAAUUAUUUAACUAAACUAUUAUUUAACCUAAUUCUAGCAUGUAAAGGUUGUAUGGGUUGACUAAUGGUAAAAUUUCCCUGUAACUUAUUCAAAAUUUUCUCUACAAAUGUGGUGGAAUUUGUCGGUGGGCUGAAAGAACUGGACAAGAUGUUUUAAGGAAGAAAAAGAAAUUAUAAUCGUGUCUAUUAUAAUGUUCAGUGAAUAAAUGGAAUUUUUGUCCUAUUCUAAAGGUUAAAGAUUAACUAAUUUCAUGUUCUUUUGUACACAGCUGCAACUGGUGCUGGUUUCAUUGCAAGGGACAUAACAUUUGAGAACUGGGCAGGACCAAGCAAGCAUCAAGCUGUAGCCCUUCGUGUCGGUGCAGAUAAAUGAGGUCUAUCUUUGGUGCAAAAAAUACUGAGAUGGGGGUACUAUUGGUCUACCUUGAAAAAAGACACCCUUCAAUUUGUACGAAAAUGUGACAAAUGUCAAUGAUUCUCUUCUAUCCAAAGACAACCAUUGUAAGAUUUGACCAUGAUCUUCAACCCCUAGCCCUUCUCGAAGUGGGGUGUGGACCUCAUAGGUCCUCUACCAAAAGGCAGAUGAGGCGCGAGCUUUGCAACUGUGGCCAUUAAAUACUUCACCAAGUGGGUUGAGGCUAAACCACUGGCAAAAAUCACAGAGGCAAACACUUCCAAGUUCUUGUGGAAGAACAUUAUAUGCCGAUUCGGGAUUCCCUACUCAAUUGUCUUAGACAAUAGUAAACAGUUCGACAACAAGAAGGUCAGAAGUUUGUAUGAAGAACUUGGCAUCAAGAAGCACUUCUCCAUACCUCACCACCCACAAGCAAAUGGCCAGGUUGAGGCGAUGAACAAGACCAUCAAACACGUCCUGAAAGGGAAGCUUGAUGUGUCAAAAGGGGCCUGGGUGGAUGAGCUGUCACAAGUGCUUUGGGCAAUCCGAACCACUACAAGGACCCCCACAGGGAAAACCUUUCCUCAUGGCAUACGGAACUGAGAUAAUGAGCCCUGUCGAGGUCGGGCUUCCAUCUCCACAACGUCUGCACUUCAAUGAAAUAACAAACGACAAGCUUUGGAGGUGCGACCUCGACUUCACUGAGGAAAGAAGAGAUGACGCCCAGCUGAAGCUCGGUACAUACCAAAGAAAGAUAAUGAAGUACUUCAACUCAAAGGUGAAGAAGAGGUCAUUUCGAAUCAACGACCUGGUCCUUAGGAGAGUCUUCCUCUCCUCCAAGGAACUAGGCACCAGUACCUUGGGUCCGAAUUGGGAAGGCCCGUAUAGAAUCAAGGAGAAGAUCUGACUUGGGACAUACUGGAUUGAAGACAUGGACGGUAAGGCACAACCCCGCCCAUGGAACAUUGAGCACCUCUGAAUCUAUUAUUAAUUAAUGUACUACCUCGCUGGAUGAUCUUUCCCAGCUCAUGUAACAUUUCCAUGAUUUAAUAAGAUAAAAUUGUCCAUGAUCGAAUUCAAGUGUCGUACUACGUCAUCACCUUGGAGGAGAGGUCAGCGUCCCAUCUCUGGGCCACCUCGCCUGAACUCCGAGGUGUACGCAACUUGCCUCUCUUUGGGGAGGCUGAAUGCCGGGGAGAGAAGCCUCAACAUGGAUGAACCAUCCAACAUGUUGGAAAGCGUCGUCACCUCGGAGGAGAGGUCAGCGUCCCAUCUUUGGGCCACCUCGCUUGAACUCGGAGGCGCACGCCACUUGCCUCCCUUUGGUGAGGCUGAACGCCAGGGGGAGACGUCUUAACAUGGAUGAACCAUCCACCAUAUUGGGAAAUGUCGUCGCUUCGGGUAGAGGUCAGCGUCCCAUCUCUAGGCCACCUCCCUUGAACUCCAAGGCGUACGCCACUUACCUUCCUUUGGGGAGGCUAAACGCCAGGGGGGAAGCCUCAAUAUGGAUGAACCAUCCGCCAUGUUGGGAAGUGUCGUCACCUCGGAGGAGAGGUCAGCGUCCCAUCUAUGGGCUACCUCGCUUGAACUCCGAGGCGUACACCACUUGCCUCCCUUUGGCGAGGGUGAACACCAGGGAGAGAAGCCUCAACAUGGAUGAACCAUCAACCAUGUUGGAAAGCAUCGUUACCUUCGAGUAGAGGUCAACAUCCAUCUCUGGGCUACCUCGCUUGAACUCCGAGGCGCACGCCACUUACCUCCCUUUGGCGAAGCUGAACGCUUGGGGGAGAAGCAUCAACAUGAAUGAAUCAUCCACCAUGUUGGGAAGCUUCUUCACCUCGGAAGAGAGAUCUGCGCCCCAUCUCUGGGCCACCUCGCUUAAACUCCGAGGCUCAUGCAACUUGCCUUCCUUUGAUAAGGCUGAAAGCCAAGGGAAGAAGCCUCAACGAGGAUUGAACUUCUUUACCCAUUGAUUCACAAGGCUCAACCACUGCGAGCUUCACGCAACUACCUUUUCAAUUAGACCUAGAAAUGUUCUCAGUUCAGUUGAAAGACGGUCCAGUCUUAGGAUCUAUUCAGGUUACAGUUAUUAAGCUUAAGUACAUUUUACUUGCUUAAGUCCAAUAUCAGUCAUGGUUUGUGUGGCUUAAAAUACAAUUUACUUGCUUAAGUAAUUGGACUUGGGAUAUGAAGUCAAGGUUAUUUAAUUUUUCAAUCAAUCUUAACUUCAAUUACUUAACGAGAUCAAUGCACUUAGUAGAAGAACAACAUCGAAUGAAAGAGAUUUUAUUGAUUUUCAAUCAAUUACAUAAGGAGGGCCUAAGGCCAGUACAUCGGAAUUAUCUGAAAAGUAUACUAUCCUAAGCCUCGGUUAUGGUGGAAGUGCCUCGGCAGCAGGAGCCUCCGCAGCCUGAGCAUCAGAACUCCCUUCUUCUGCCUCUGCUGCUUCAUCCCUAACCGCUUCUUCAGCUGGGGUCUGAGGCACUUCAUCCACAAACUCCGACCUCAACUGUGACAGGUCUUGAUUUGGGUAGAGUUCCUCAGCCCUGCCCUUGUACUCCUUAGUAUUGUGGAAGUUUGCAAUGUAGUCUUUGACUGCCUCCUCCCUGGCCUGACCAAUUCAUCCACAUGCCACUUUAUUUGGCUCUCCAAGAACUUGUAGGCAUCUUGGGCCCCAGCCAGCUGCAGAUUGGCCUUCUCCAAGGCCUCAGCAGUCACCUUUUGGUGGUCAUUGGAGACCUCCAUUUUCUUGGCAAGGGAAGCCACCUCAUACUGGGACUCAUAGAUCUCAUUCAAGGCCUCAAUCUAAGCUAAAGCAGACUCCAGCUUGGCCAUGUCUUCGAUUUUUUGGGCCCUCGUUUCCUCUGUCUCGGCCCUGGCCUUCUUCAGCUCCUCUGCGAGAGAGGUCACCUUCUUCUUCGAGGAUUGGGUCCUCAUCUGAAUAUCAGUAAGGCCCUUUCUGCACUCCAAUGCGAGGCCAAAGGUCCUCACACUUUGGCUCACAAGGGCCCUUAUCAAGUCCACCGCAUCGCAGGACGAGGCGUACAACUACCACCGGUCUGUCUAGAAUUUGUAGAAGCUCUCCAUAGCACUUCAGACCUCGGCUGGCAAAGCCUCCACCAACGCCAAGCCCAGGACCUCCUCCCUCCUAGCAAGGAAGUUCGGAGAUUUCUCUUGAACUCUUGCAGGCCACUACUUGGCAGCUUCAUCCUCUGCCUUCUCAGCCACUCUUCUCACAGCAGCCUCCUCAGCCUCGACGUGUCACACCAUUUCAAUCUUUCUAGCUUUUGAGGCAGCCUCCAGGAGCUUCGGUUGAGGGGCUUCUUUUUCUUCAUGAGACAUAGAGGUCUUAAAAUUCCCAGAUGAGCUGUUGACGUACACUAGCUUCCUCUUCUUCUGCUCUUCGGGGACCUUCUCCUUUCCCCGAGGCUCUUUGGCCUUAUCUAGCCUCUGGGUCCCCCCUUCUCAGCACCCCUGGAACUGCUAUCUUUGGAGAGGCACUCUACCCUCCCCCGGACCUCCUUUGCACCACUUGACCUUGGCUUCAGGGGCCUCAUCGUUACAUUAGAUGUAGCCCUAAGGAUAGAGGCCAUGUCUGGGACUGGGUACUCCAACCUUGAACUUGUUUGCAAGGCAUGUCAGUACAUCAACAUCGAAACAAAAAGCAAGAAAUACGCAAGUAUAUAAGCAUCUGACCUUUGGAGGCCAUCAAUUCAAAGUCAAUGAAGUAGCGGCUUCGGUCGAUGAGGUGGUUGAAGUACCGAAGCUUCAGAGGUCUCUUGUAAAUAUUCUCUAUCACUUCAAACUCCUCCUUGCUCAACUCGAACCUCGUACUACUAUCUUCACAACAAGCCUCAACAGUUAGAAAAAUAAAAUUUUGAAUACAGAAUGUAAACUACUUAGGUUGGGAGACUCAAAAGCUUUAUAGUACUGGGUCGGUACUGUGCAAGCCAAGGUCGUGUCCCUCUCCACUACUUGCCACCUGCCCCUCACCCAAAACCACGAUUCCUUCCACCCCUUGAUGGAAGAAGGCAGCCCCACCACAAACAAUGCGUGAGCCCCCUAAGGAGUUAAAUAAUACCACCCCCCUUGACUCCUUAUCUAUCACCCUAGGGUAGAACAGGGUCAUGAAGACGUCGAGAGGCAUGUCCUCCCCAAGUGGCGCUUCCUUCCACAAGAAGUACGAGCCAACCAACUAGCUCCACCCAUUUGGCAGAACCUGGGUCAAUGACAACAUAAAGUUCCUCAGCACUACCCUAAAGAAGGGAUGCAGAAGAAGACGCAUACCUGCCUUAAACAGGUAUUCACUCACCGCCACGUAUCUGGGCCUCGGAUAGCAGGCACGCUCAUAAGCCUCGGGCACCAACAUUUCGACCUAAUGAGGUACACAGUACCUCUCCCUGAUCUCCCCUAGCCUCUUCAAAGUCAUAUUUGGAGGCACUCUGGAUGCCUCCCACUGUUCACUGUAAUCUACUGGCUCCUCGGUCAUAGCAUAUUGCUCGACCUCAGGGUCCACUCUGCGACUCAUCCCCUCGCCGAAUGAUGCAACAGUUACUAAUUCCCUACCCAAGGUAGACUCCAUAUCAGAAAAGGAUGAACUAAAUGCAAGGGCUUUUCUAUGAAAAUACCUAUGGAAAAUGACUACGAGAACGGAGUAACGCCGGAAAAUGACAAGAUCGACUAUUUGGACGCCGGAAAACUUGAGCUUUUGAAGAAAAAAUCAAAUUGCAAAGGUUGAAAAUCCAGAAAAAUGGGGGUCUCUCGCCUUUUAUAAAGGGUCAGGACGAACCCUAAUCGUCUGAUCAAAGCCCAUUGAAUCUGGACCCUUUAUUCUACACAAAAUCUGAGGCAUAGAAUUCAAACGAUUUUUCAAACCUAUGCUUCAGAUUCAAGCGUGUCCUCCACGCACCUCCCCAAACGCGUCUACUUCUAGAAGCUCCAGCUAUGCUCAUAAUUACGACUUUAAUUCGACGACAGCAAACGCCUUGGAAGUUGAACGGUCCUACCACAUUUCCUCAAAAAUAUGCGUAAAACAUCAAAUCAUUGGCACAACUGUCGAUGAACAAUCAUUACCAAUGAGCAUCACAAUUCAGCCAACAAGCCUCGCAGGUUCGAUUUCUCAACCACUUUGGCUUCCUCAUCAAAAUUUAGCCUCUACAAGCCUCGUAUGUUCGAUUUCUCAAACACCUCAACUUCCUCAUCACAAUUCAGCUAUCAAACCUCGCAGAUUCUGUUCUCACCCACCUCAAAUCUAUUCUCACCCACCUCAACUUCCUCAUCAGGAUUCAACCUCCAUCAAGCCUUGCAGGUUCGGUUUCUCAACCACCUCGGCUUCCUCAUCACAAUUUAGCCAUCAAGCCUUGCAGGUUCGAUUCUCACCCACCUCGGCUUCCUCAUCAGAAUUCAGCCUCCACAAUCCUCGCAGGUUCGGUUCUCAAACCACCUCGAUUUCAUCAUUUUCAUCAUUCUUCCACAACAGCACAUUUCUAACUCCAACCAUGAUAUAAAUAUCUAUACUAGGACUUGGGGAAUUAUUAUUUGGGGUACAAAAAUUUCUUUCAACUUAACUGGCUGGCUUUACUUCAUCAAAGUACUCGCAUUACAUAAAUAACUAUACUUGGACUUGGUGGACUAUUGUUACGUGUUUGCACACUUGGCAACCCACCGGGGCCCACAGCUAACUCAUGCCAAAUCACGUGGCACUAAAGUUGAGGUGAUUUGCAUAGUCGAGGCCCACAAAUCGAGGUCCAAAAAACCCAGGCCCAUAUAUAUCGAAACCUAUCUAUCAUUGCCUCUUGAGGAGCUUUCGAAGCCCAUAUGCCGAGGCUCUUGAAGGUGGAUGAGGCCCUGUUGGCCGAAGCCCUGUAGACGAGGUAGCAUCCUUAGAAUCACAAAGCAACAUCUUCCAUAAACACUUCCCCUAAAAGAUCCUCUGCACAAAGAUCUUACUUGUAUGAUUGAUAAGACGUUUGUCAUGAGUGUAAAUGUUAAUUCUUGUCACUAGUAGAGGCGGCUCUGCCAAUCAAUAAAUGUAUGGCAUGCUAGGUGUGGCUGAUGCCUACAAUUUGACAUGUAAAUUAACCGAAUGAGGCCACAUGUACCCCGAACCAAAGGUCACGAUCUAACUUGUGACACUAUAAAUACUCCCCCAUGUACUCCAUACAGAGGCUAAUGCAAGAAUCAAUAGAAGAAACCAUACUUUACUCAACUCUCUCUCUCUCUCUUAUUAUUUUACAACACAAACGAGUUCAUACAUAUUUAGAUACACAUUUACAAACAUUGGUUGGUAAUUAUGGUACAAUCGGUCCACAAACAUCCUGUCGGAUUCCGAACGUUCUCAUCCCGUGCCGUUGAGCUACUCCCAUUCCCUCGAUCCAACUGUUUUAGACCGUCCACGUGUCUUAGCGUGCUGGACUUUUGCUUACGUGUGCGCGGGUGGGUCCGACAUCUGUUAACAACAUUUUUUGGGGUCAACAAUUGUCCCAUCAAUUUUAUCAAAGGUCACGAUCUAACUUGUGACACUAUAAAUACUCCCCCAUGUACUCCAUACAGAGGCUAAUGCAAGAAUCAAUAGAAGAAACCAUACUUUACUCAACUCUCUCUCUCUCUCUUAUUAUUUUACAACACAAACGAGUUCAUACAUAUUUAGAUACACAUUUACAAACAUUGGUUGGUAAUUAUGGUACAAUCGGUCCACAAACAUCCUGUCGGAUUCCGAACGUUCUCAUCCCGUGCCGUUGAGCUACUCCCAUUCCCUCGAUCCAACUGUUUUAGACCGUCCACGUGUCUUAGCGUGCUGGACUUUUGCUUACGUGUGCGCGGGUGGGUCCGACAUCUGUUAACAACAUUUUUUGGGGUCAACAAUUGUCCCAUCAAUUUUAUUGGAAAUUUGGUGCUAUUUCCAUAUUCAAACAAAAUAUCUUGUAGAAAAAUAGAGAACAAUGAUAAUAAAAAGAAUACAAAAGCUGAUGUAGAAUGAUAAUAAAAAGAAUACAAAAGCUGAUGUAGAAAACUUUGUAGUUGGAAAAUAAUUUAUGAAUCAUAAUAAUAAAUAUUGCACUACAAUCACAUUUAAUGCAUCUUUAACUACAAGGUUGAACAUCUUUAAGAGACACUAAAUAUAAUUUAUUAAUCUCUAUUUAGAGAGUUAACGCAUACAAAUAAGUUUUAAAAUACUUUUUUUUUCAAUAAGUUAUAUAUUUUAAUAUUUUACUUUUUAAAUUAUUCAAUUAUAUUUGAAUUGAUUGACGAUGGACAAUAUUUUACCCUCUAAAUUUAAAGAUUCUCUUUAUUACACGUGAGAUGAUGUUUAUAAAAAAGUCUCCUAAAAAUAUUUUAAGAGGCAUAAGAUGUGGCAAGGCGUGAAAGUCAAGCCUUACGAAACAAGAUGUAAUAAUUUUUUUUUUUUUACCAUGUACUUAGUGAAAAGCAACCUUCUUUCGAAUAUUUUAUUGAAUUUUUUCUUAAAUGUAAAAUUUCUUAAAUAUACUGGUAUGAAACAUCAGUUAUAUAUAGAGGGAGAAGAUGUAAAUUUUUUUGAAUUAUGGAAGAAAAAUUGUUCAAUAUGAAAGCAUGUGUUCGUUCUUUAUCUCCACACCUAUGCUUAAAUAGCAAAAUUUCGUAGUCAUCUGCCAAUCUACAAACAUUGGACUUAAUUUUAAAUAAUGGCUAUAUUUGUCAAUUGAAAAAUUUUAUUUUCCAUUCUAAUUCAUUAUUUAACGACACCAAGUGUGCCCAUGUUCUUUGACAAAAGAACAUAGAACUGCAAACAUUUUUCGGAAGUGCAGGUAACUCGGGCACUGUAGGCAACCCUUCUUCAUGGCUUGAUGACUGUUCAGACAGUUCCUCAAACCUUCUCAAUUUUCUCUUUCGGAAGUGUAGCCAAAAUCUCUCGAUAAAUCUUGAUUCCGGGCUUGGAAAACAAUCAAACAAUUACCAAUUUACCUCGGUUCGAUCCAAGACUUUCGCCACUUUGGAUAGCCCUUUUUGCCUCUCUGAUGGCUCUCUAUUUAGUAUCCACAAAGGACAUGCGGUGGUGACUACAAUGGAAAAAAGACUGGACAAUAAUGGUGGAAAAUCUCUCUCCCUUUUUCCCCAAGACCGGCUGCCCCCUUUCACUCACCAUUGCACGUUCAAUCAUCCACACAUAAAACUGCUGGGAUAGAUGGAUAUAUAUAGGUAUAGUUUAGGUCACUCCAAUUGGGCCUAGGGUUCACUAAGAGGGCUCCCAAUUAACUUAAACUAAUGGGCCAAUUUUUAACUCCAUAUUAAUCACUAAAUGGUCCAACUAACCAAAUAAUCAUCCAACCCAAACUCGAGCCAUCCAAAAGUGUAGUUCAUCUCCGAGCCGAGCCGAGUCCAUGGUGUCGAUAAAUAAUCCAAUAAUUGUUUUAAAUCAUCGCCCAGAUUAUUGAGUAUCAAAAAACCCAACAAUCUCUACCUUGACGCCCAAUAAUCUGCAAGCGAUCAAAACACACAGUUUAUACUUGCACAAUCAAGGUAAUCCACUAAAAUUGGAAUAACAGACCUUACCUCGUGUUUCCAACCUGAAACACAUACGAUACUUGCUCCAUGUACUCACCAGGGCUAAGGUCAAGAAUAUCCUAGUAGAAACAAGUAUUCACAGUGAACAAAUAAUCUUGCGAUGAAGAUAUAUAUAGGAUAAUACACAAAUAGAUCUUUUCAAAAUCACGUUCACACAGAACCACAUAUUAACACAUAGUUAACCAACAUAUGGUCACACACAUAUGCAACAAAUGCAUAAAUGACCCCAAGAAAAGAUCUCACCACACUUAUCAUAUCCCAUUCCGUGUUUCUCACACCUCUAGAACACAUAUCUCCUCUCAUCGCCCACCAUGCUCACUAAACAGAUUACUCAACUCAUGUCUAAUUGGCAAGUCACAAUAGAUCCUAAGUCCACGGGAUAAUUCUCUAUCACCACAUCACUUUUUUCAACCUACGUGGAUAAUGAGACUCCACCUUACAAAAGUGAUAGAAGUGCCUCUCUCACACUCCACCUAAUCAGGGUCUCUUUCAUAGAUAAAAGAUUCUACACAUUUGAUCACAUCUCCACUCGUGAUCCAAAUGUCACACUCUACAUCCCCCGUGCAUAUCACUAAUGCACUUCUAGGCAUAUAUACUCCACCUUACCAAAAGAUAUCCAACUCACUGCUAAUGCAUCACAAACUCACUGCGGCAAAACAACACCUUUCGGUGAUCACAAAGGUUACUCCAAUCACCAAAGCUCCAAAAAAUCCACAAACAAAAUGGCGAAAGUGGCACUCACAAAGAAAAAUUGAAGAAAGAGUCGGUUACUUCACAACACUCACAAAGGAGGCUCACAAAGAGGAAGAAUAUAACCCUAACAUGGCUGCCUCACAUAAUCUCACAAACCACACAGGCUCACAAAAAUAAAGGAGAGAAACGGCUGCCCAACUUUCUUCUCACUACCACACUCUCACACCACUCAUAGAGGAAACAUAGUACACUACAAAACUCAACCCACUCUGCAUGUAAACAUAUUACACAAAAUAACAAGAUCACUCUCAAUUCAUACAAUUACAUACAUCAAACAAGUUGAAAGUGUAACAUCAAUAUUGCAACAAAAUUAAGUGACCAUAUACAUGCAGAAAGGAUUACACACAGAUGCAAUGCAGUAACCAGGUUUAUUCUCUCAAUAAACCUCAUUGGGAUCACUACUCAACCCUAAAGUCACAUUUGCCUCGUCUCUAUUCUCACCUUUCCUUUUAUUAUCAUCUUAGAACAAUCUCUUUCAACUAUGUCUAUCACAGUUAAAAUAUAUUUUAUUUUUUAUACUUGCCUUAGACCUAUACAUGCCAACUAUACCAAAUAAUAACCACAAGCAAAGUAUUGACAUAUAAUUCACACAGAAUAGUCAAGUAAACUUUCCUAAGGUCACAUGCAAUUUUAUCGGUGUAGAAACAAUUGGUGACAAAUUCACAUAGAAUUUAAGACAAUUAAUUUUUACUAAUUCCUAGGUCUAACAACAGGCAAUGGUUACCCCAAACCUAAUGUCACCCCACACGAUGACUUCUAACGCGAAAAAUAAAUAAUUAACCUGCACAUUAAUUUUAAUUGCAAUAAUAAAAAGCAAAGAAUACGAUACCUAGCGGACCACAUCUGAAGGUCCGUAAAUAUCGAGAGACGCGAAUUCACUACAUUAGGAUCGUCACUGUUCAUCCGAAAGUCAACAGCAACCACAGUAACAUGAAAACAGCACCCGACACCCGAACAUCCAAGGGCAAAAUUGUCCAACUUUCACUGUAUUGCUCCAAACUGAAAUCUAAAAACACUGCAGGGUCUGUCACAUCUCUGACAACAUUCUAUCUUUUGGAACCCUCGCCGGUGCCAUAUUCAUCACGCACCUCCGGUGCCGGGGCUGGAGAUGGCCACGCGCCACCCUUCCUGAACCGUCUCAGUCUACACAAUCCAAUGGUGGUAUCCAGUUCUCCAAAUUGUUUUUGGUUUCACCAGAAAACCCCAAAACAGAUCCACCAGAAAAUUGAAAAAACUGGAGAGUUUUUGCCUCUGAUUUUCAGAUCCGUUUCUGACCACUUCCAGCCCGUUUUUAGCCCCAAAAAUCAUAGAUUUAUCGACAACACAAUCUCUAAUACCAUUUGUAGCGGAAAUCCCUUGAUAAAUCUUGAUUUCGGGCUCGAAAAAUAAUCAAAUGUCCACCGAUUUACCUCGGCUCGACCCAAGACUUUCGCCUUCAAUUUGGACAGUCCUUUUUGCCUCUCUGAUGGCUCUCUAUUUAGUGUCUACAAAGGACACGCGGUGGUGACUACAAUGGAAGAAAGAAUGGACAACAAUGGUGGAAAAUCUCUCUCCCUUUUUCCCCAAGACCGGCUGCCCCCUUUCACUCACCAUUGCACGUUCAAUCAUCCACACAUAAAACUGCUGGAAUAGAUGGAUAUAUAUAGGUAUAGUUUAGGUCACUCCAAUUGGGCCUAGGGUUCACUAAGAGGGCUCCCAAUUAACUUAAACUAAUGGGCCAAUUUUCAACUCCAUAUUAAUCACUAAAUGGUCCAACUAACCAAAUAAUCAUCUAACCCAAACCCGAACCAUCCGAACCCAAACCAUCCGAAAUUGUAGUUCGUCUUCGAGCCGAGCCGAGCCGAGCCAAUUUCAUGGUGUCGAUAAAUAAUCUGACAACUGUUUUAAAUCAUUGCCCGUAUUAUUGGAUAUUAAAAAUCCCAACAGGAAGCAAGGUCCCAUUGAAUUUGAUUACUUAUACCAUAUAUAGCAAGUAAUUUGAAAAGUUGCACUUCAAAAAAUAUUGACAAGUUCUCUUGAUAGAAAAUAAGUCGUCAUUUGCUCCCACGGGCACGGCGCAAUGGUAAAGUAAGAGGAUUCUCUAAGGAGCAUCCGACAGUUGGAAGGCAACAUUUAUGUUGGAAGACAGAUGUCCCAUGGAGGCAAAGUUAUGGUGGGUUUUGUCGUCCUACCGGGGUUCUGUCCGCCUGUUGUAAGGGGAGGUGCACGGGGAGAGGAAUCACAUCUUGAACGUCCGUCCCAAGUAUGUUUGAGCUGUGACCGCAUCCGAAUUUACAUGGGUGGGGAAUCGGGAGAACCCGCCACUCCUUAGGAUUAGUCGGGCCAAAUUCGAACACCUGAGCCAUAAAAAAAAGUCGUCAUUUGGUGAAAUGGAUACUGUUCCUUUACCUCAAAUAUUUGGAAAAAUAGACCCCUCGGUAGGAUGAAUAUAAAUAAAAAAAAUUAGCCAGUCCACUAGAAAUUGGCAUAUUGAGAAAACGAUGUUGCUCCAUAAAACAAAUUUUUUUUUUUUUGAACUCUCCUCUACGCUUUUAUACUUUUUACUCUAUUUUGGUUCUUAGCACGUAGGUUGCACAACCAUUUCACAUAAAUAAUCAUUGUUUCUUUGUCAAGCUGCAGUUCAAAUAUUGUGUACUCAGGGUAUUGUGUUGGAUUUUUAAAAUUUCUAGGGAGGAAUGUGACUAGUUGAAAUUCAGUUUUGCACCUCAUUCUCUUCAUAGUGACCUUUAUCCAUCCUUGAUGUAGAUCGAAUAAACUGCUUGCCAGACUAGAUGAUUGCUCAUAUUUUUUCAAUUCUUCCUACAAAAAAUUUGUAGUUUGAACCGACAUUCUGUUCUAGAGGCUACAAUAUUUCGACUUUUAUUAACAAUCUUGAUUUCGAGGAAAAUACUUUGAAUGCAAGAAAUUCUGCUUAUGUGAUAUAUCAUUAUUAAGUAGUUGUACAUCAAAACAGAUUGAUAGGUUCCGUUUAACAAAAUAUGGUUGUACAUCAAAGUAUUUCCAUCAUUCCAUGGAUUAAAUUUACAGGUGUGGCCAUUUAUAGUUGUCAUAAAAAUAUGGAAGCUACUAUAUUCUAUUGCAAUAACCAUGCUAUACAUAAUUCAAAAUCAGUAGCCAAUAGUUAUAUCCCAGUACAUAGAAACAGAAUUUCAUAUAUACUUCAACAAAUACGAAGCAAAUGAAUAGAAUGUUUUGUACAAGGAAAGAAUCACUACUAUUAAGUUAAUAAUUUUACAGACAACCAGUCAUGAUUAUGCUCGUCUUCUUGUGCAAAUCAUGGUCUUUAAGGAAUCCAACAUACAGGUUUGUCCUGCUCGUGUCACUCUCGGGAAGUGUCGCGUUUCGACCACCUUCUAACAUGUUCUUCACAAAUUCAUCGAACUUGCGACAAUUCUCAGCUUCGAGCAAUCGUUUAUUCAUUCUUAGAUACGUAAAUGCAGCGAGUCCAUUUCCAGAAUCUGAAUGGCUAGUUCCCAACAUCUGUGAAUAUGCGCCAGAAUCAUACCUCUCCAGAGCAUUUUCUCCAGCAAGUUGUGUUCCAACAGAUUUGGUAGCCAUCUUCACUUGUCAAACUAGACCUUCAGGCGAGCAAUUUGCCCUCUCUGGAUGUUCUUUGUCUCUCAUUUCCAUACACGUAAAAUUGAGCACCACUCCACAUUUACUUAACAUUCAUGCUAUUGCCGAAUAACCAUCUCGAUUCCUAGUAUUGUAGUAUCCAGCAAUUAAUUCAGCUGCAUGCGAUCUUGUUUUGUAGUGCCAAUGAAUUCCAGCUACUUUUCCUGAUAGUAUAGCUCUGGUUCCUUCGAAUAUUCUUUGUGCAGCUGACAGGAUUUUAUCUCCGUGCUCGACUAGCUUACCAGAAUACCAUUCUAAGAAAAAAUGUCCAUAUUCAGUGUUCCAUGUGCCUUCCCUUUGGAAAAACCGUUUCUUCCGGUAAUUGGUUGUAUUGGCCUGCGUCGUGAGGGCCUCCGAGUCCCCAGUCAGUGUUCCCAAUCGCCUCAGCCGCAGCUGCUAAUGAGGCUCUCAUGUACUGUUUUUACAUAACAAAUGUUCAACUUAAUUCAUGUUUGGUCGAUGAUGAACAAGAUUUUAGCUACUCAUUUUUGAUAAUUAUGUACCUUGUCGUAGCAUUGGAAUUCACCAAUUCUUGGAAAUCUCCAAGUGCCAUUGCUUUCUGGAUAGGAUGGAUAUCUUAGCUCUCCACAAGGCCCCAACCCCACUUGAAUUUCCUGAAAUAAUAGCAACCAACUUAAAACUACUACGAUAAUGAGCAUAAACUAUCCAAGAAUGUUAAAAAUGGCUUACCACUUGAAGUUGGUGAUAUUAACUUCCCAAGAUUGCCCAAGAACAAAUAAACUUACAAUGUGAAAAUUCCAAACCACUUGAAGAUGAAAAAGAAAAGAUAAGAAAAUUGGGGAAGAAAGGAUUUUCAAUAUAUAUGAGGAACAAUGGAUUGGAUUACUUGAACAAGUCUCAAGUUAAUCCCCAAGAAAGAAAAAAUAGCUUUGAAUUUAUACCCAAGAAGAACAACCUCUUUCUUGUUAUAUUCUCUACCAAGCUUUCUCUCCUAUUUUCUCUCUAAAAAUCGGAUGUCAUAAUGAAAGGUAAACUCAGCUAUAUAUAUAGCUGAAUCGGGUGCCUAGGCUCCAAGUUUCUGCCCAGUCGAGAAACUGGGCGCCUAAGCAACCAGUUUCUGCUUUAGCAAAAUCGGGGGGGCGCCUAGGCGCCUCCUUGCUACUUCAUUUCUUACAAUUCUCCACCUCGUACAUCAUUUGAUGGACCUCAAAUUUUGGACGAACACAAGAAGAAGCAGCAAGCGCCAAACUCGGCUGCACCAUUCAAACCAUGGUUGCCUACGUACCCAAAACUCGGGAUCAAGUCUCCGUAGUUCACCUCCACCUUUAUAUACUCUUCACCUCAUUUCAACCCCGCCCUGAAGGGCCAUACCCACUCGGGCAUAUCAGCACGGACUAAUGUGAAGCAAGUCCAAGCAAUGCUGAAACUUGCUACCCGUUACCACUUUGGUUAACAUGUCUGUUAGGUUCUUAUUUGUGUGUACCUUCAAGAGAGAAAUAUCACCUUCCUCUAUGACAUCAAGCACAAAAUGAUACCUGACGUCGAUAUGCUUGGUUCGAGCAUGAUGAACCUGAUUUUUAGCCAAGUGAAUCGCACUCUGGCUAUCACAACACAAGUCCACACAAUCCUGCUCAAUCCCUAAAUCAUCUAGAAGACACCUCAACCACAAUGCUUCCUUCACUCCCUCUGCCAUGCCCAUAUACUCGGCCUCUGUAGUAGAAAGAGCCACUAUAGCCUGUAACAUCGAUCGCCAACUAACUGGGGCACCAUGUAUGCAAAACACAUAUCUAGUAGUAGAUCGUCGUCUAUCUAGAUCACCUGCAUAAUUCGAGUCUACAAACCCACUUAUAUGACAUGCAUCUCCACCAAAACAUAAACCCGUAUCGGCGGUACCUUUUAAAUACCUCAGGAUCCACUUCACAGCUUCCCAGUGUGCCUUCCCCGAAUUCGCCAUGAAUCUACUGACCAUACUAACCGCCUGUGAAAUAUCUGAGCGUGUACACACCAUGGCAUACAUCAAACUGCCAACUGCACUAGCAUAAGGUACACAAUCCAUGGGUACCUUUUCUUCCGGUAUAGUAGGAAAUUGUUUACCAGAGAGCCUGAAAUGUGGAGCCAAUGGAAUCACCACCAACUUUGCACCUUGCAACCCGAACCUAGUAAUAACCCGCUCAAUGUAGCCUUUCUGACUCAAGAACAUUCGUCGGUUCGCCCUCUCUCUUCUAAUCUCCAUACCCAGUAUUUUCCUAGCAGCCCCCAUAUCCUUAAUCUCAAACUCUUUACCAAGUUGAGAUUUCAACCUAUCUAUCUCCACCUUGCUUUUCGAAGUGAUAAGCAUGUCAUCCACAUACAAAAGAAGAUAGAUAUAGUUACCUCCCCGGAGUUUUCGAAUAUAAACACAACAGUUAUACUCAUUUCUGGAGGAACCAUGCUUUAGCAUGAAGGAGUCAAAUCGCUUGUACCACUGCCGAGGAAAUUGUUUCAAUCCAUAUAGUGAUUUUCUCAAGUGACAUACCUGACGUUCCUUAUCCUCAACCUUGUAGCCCUCAGGUUGAUGCAUAUAGAUUUCCUCAUCCAUGUCCCCGUGCAAGAAGGCGGUUUUGACAUCGAGUUGUUCCAGCUCAAGAUCAUGAUGAGCAACAAUACUCAAUAGCACUCGAAUGGAAGUGUGCUUGACCACCGGAGAAAAGAUCUCAUUGUAGUCAACUCCCUCUCUUUGUGCAAACCCCUUAGCCACUAACCUUGCUUUGAAUCUUGUACCACCGAGCUUGGUAGGAUCCUCUUUCUUUUUGUACAACACUUGCAACCAAUAGCUUUCUUACCUAUGGGCAAUGGGACAACCUCCCAUGUUUGGUUCUUGUGAAGUGAUUCCAUCUCUUCUUCCAUCGCUGCCAACCAACUCUCACUAUUGUUGUUUAAAAUAGCUUCCUUGAAAGUGGCAGGCUCAUUAUCCUCCACCGAGAGUACAUACUCAACCAAAUUUGUCUGCCCAUAGUGCCUCAAAGGCUCGUCUGACCCCAACUUUAGAACUUGCUUGUAAGUACGUCAUGGCCUAGAGGAAGUCAAGUUAUCUGCAAGCUGUUGUUGUUGCUGUGCCUGUACAUUCUCUUGCUGAACCGCCUCUUGUUCAAGCUCAUCAUCACUCUCAUCUUGAGUGUCUGCAUGAUGCUCCUCUUGAACAUGACUAGAACCAGGUUGAUCUCUAGGUUCUAUGUCAACAACUUGAGACUUUGUAGUCUCAACAUCAUCACCACCGGGCACUGUAGCUUUCAACGAAGCUAUCAAAAGUAACAUCUCUACUGAUUAUGAACUUAGAAUCCUCUACACACCAUAGAUGAUAGCCUUUUACACUUGCCGCAUACCUUAAGAAUAUAGCCUUCUUGGCCCUCGCAUCAAGCUUUUCCUCGUUGACGUGAUAGUAGGCUGUACAUCCGAAUAUUAUGAGUUUCUCAUAAUCUGCAUGUUGUCCUGUCAAUACCCUCUAAGGUACAUCUCCAUCUAACUUUGAAUAUGGAGAUCGGUUCACUAUGUAGCAAGCAUUUGCAACCGACUCUGCCCAUCACUCUGCCCAAACCAGCAUUGGAUCGCAUACACAUCGAUUUCUCUCGAAAUGUGCGAUUCGGUCUUUCUGGGACUCCAUUUUGUUGCAGUGUAUUUCUAACUGUCCAGUGUCUCGCAAUGCCUUCCUCAACACAGAACUCCUUGAAAGCACCAUCUGUAUACUCAGUACCGUUAUCAGAUCACAGUGUCUUCAAUUUCUUUCUUGUUCUGUUUUCAACCAUUGCUUUCCACUUCUUGAAAGUGUCGAAUAUGGUAAGAGCAUCCAGAGCCAAGAAUCCACUUACCGGAGAUUUCUUCAUCAUAAGUGAUGGUGUAGCACUCAUCGCUUUCCCCUCCUUCCGAGGCAUAGCUAACAUCUUGCUUGAUUUGCACCUUUCCGUUGUUGUUGUUCUUAUUGUUCUUCUUCCAACCUCUUUUGUUAGUACAAUUCGCCUUGAAAUGCCCAAGCUCGCCGCAUUUGAAACAAGGCCUUUCCGCAAGAGGUCUAGAACUCAAUCUAGAUUUUUCUCCCUUGCCUUUUGGUCGCACAUUGCUUCUACCUCUUACAAACAAUCCUUGAGCUUGCUCCUUGUUACCAAUGAUAGACAUGCCACUAGUUGCAAUCUUUCGAAGAUCGUCCGCUAGAAGUGACGUUCUAGUCUCCUCCAUCACAAGUUUAUCACCCACAAGCAUCAAUGUUUGUACUAGGUUCUCGUAAGACUUUGGCAACGAAAGAAGUAGUAGAAGUGCUUGAUCCUCAUCAUCUACUUUCACAUCAAUGUCCUUCAAGUCCGAUAUGCACCUAUCAAACUUGUUGACGUACUCCCGGAUUGGUGUACCUUCAUCCAUCUUGCAAGUAUACAAUUUGGAUUUCAAAUAGAUCCGAUUUGUUAGAGUCUUCGUCAUGAAAUUCGCCUCCAACUUUGUCCACACCUCCGUCGCUGUUUCCUCACCAUCAACAAGAAAGCAACAUCUCUUUCAAGGCAUAGAAUGAUAGAUGCUCGUGCCUCAAGAUCUAGAUCUUCCCAAUCCUUAUCAGACAUAUCUAUGUGCUUCUUCUCCUUUCCCGUCAAUGCCUUGUGCAACUUUUGAGAAAUUAACAAAUUUCUCAUUUGCAUUCUCCAAUAUGAGAAGUCAUUCUUCCCAUUGAAUUUCUCUAUCUCACACUUCCCAAUCUUCACCAUUCCUCUAGUAGACAUGAUUUAUCUACUUGUUUACCGAAAAUAGAACAACAAAGUUCACUUGGGAAUUUUCACAAACACCUUGUGUGCACAACAAAGUUCAAGCCACCCACCAAAAAUCGGAGCUUAACCACGCUGAUUUAAGAAGAUGCUCUGAUACCAAAUUGUUGGUAAAAUUAACUUCCCAAGAUUGCCCAAGAACAAAUAAACUUGCAAUGUGAAAAUCCCAAACCACUUGAAGAUGAAAAAGAAAAGAUAAGAAAAUUGGGGAAGAAAUGAUUUUCAAUAUAUAUGAGGAACAAUGGAUUAGAUUACUUGAACAAGUCUCAAGUUAAUCCCCAAGAAAGAAAAAAUAGCUUUGAAUUUAUACUCAAGAAGAACAACCUCUUUCUUGUUAUAUUCUCUACCAAGCUUUCUCUCUAAAAAUCGGAUGUCAUAAUGAAAGGAAAACUCAGCUAUAUAUAUAGCUGAAUCGGGGGCCUAGGCGCCAAGUUUCUGCCCAGUCCAGAAACUAGGCGCCGCGCCGACCUAGGCGCCUCCCUGCUACUCCAUUUCUCACAGUUCAUUUCUUCAAGCACCCAUGGAGGUAGAGGGAUGCUGCAAAAAUACAACAUAAACUAUAUAUUAAGUCACAAAAAUGGAUGUCACACUUAACAUUUCUAAAUAAUAUUAUGGUUUCUACUUUACCAAAAUCUACUAAAAAUCUGAAUUUUAUCUGAACCAGACGAGGACUAUAUAUACAUAUACAUAUACAUAUACAAGUAGAAGAGGGGAUUAUGCGUAAUUUAAGUGAAAAAAAUGGCAUUGCACUCUUUGCAUGGAGCUUGCACAACAACGGCUUAGUUUGAGAAAAACUUAAUAUAGUUGAAAACUCGUCACGAGUUUUUAAACCUCGAUUAUCUUUUAUAUUGAUAAACGAAAUUGAGGAGCGAAGUGCAAAAGCCAUGGUUUUGUGAAAGAAAAGGGAGAUUGGAUUGAUGAAUGAAGACUGCGAAAUUAUGCGUAUAUUUAUAAAAAUAAGUUCUACGUUGGAUUUAUAAAGUAGGCAAUUUCGGUGGGCUCUGCUCUUGUUUGAUAUUUUGUCAUAUUUUGAAGGAAAUUUUUAAAGAGGAAAGGUGCAAAAUAUCAAAAAACUUGGUAUUUUGAAGGAAAUUUCAUGUCAAUGUCUCAGAGGGGUGACGGAUUAACUACGUAAUGAUCCUAACUUCUCGAACAAUAAUGUAAAAUUAUUAAAAAAAUUAGUAAGAUUAUACGGGAGAAUUAAUGUUACAAGAUUAUACGCGGAACCAAUGUGAAUAAAAAAAUUUCAAAAUAUGGUCUCUAUCCUCUAAUGUUAGUAGUCGGUAAGAAAUUAGGUAAAAAAAAAUUCGAUACACGUAGCAUUCUCCUAAAAAAUUUAGAUUUAUGUGGAAGUGUCAAAAAUUCAGUUUAAAUAUUCACAUAAUCACGGGUUUUUGGCAUGACUUUGUACCAAUUAUUUGAUAUAAAUCGAUAUUUUUUGAACGUAAUGAUUUGUCAGAUUUUUUUUCCCGAAUUUCUAGAGUGGAUAAGGGAUUUUUCUUUUUCUUUUUUUUUUUUUGGCGUGGGGGGUUCAUGUUGGUUAUUUUUUUCUUGUAUAUAUUUACUUUUUAUAUUUAUUCUUUUUGCAUCUUUAAAUUAAACACUGAACUUUACACUUUAAAAUUCAUUUUUCCCAAAAAUUAUUUUCAACAUGUACUUCUAGUAUAAUAAUAUUGCAUUUAAAUUUAAUUUUUUUUUCAAUAUUUUAAUCACAUAUACUUAAAAAAAAAAUCACUUUUAACAAAAUCUAUUCUUAAAAAUUGAGCUCAAACUAGGCUUAAAAUACCUGUUUUGCCCCAUUAAAUUUGAAAAAUACAUUUUAAAAUAGUAGAUUGAAAAAGAAUGUGUAAUUAAAAAAAAUUUUGACUUUACGAGUAAUAUUAUUUUAUUGAGCAAUAUAUAAUUGAAAAAAAGAAAGAAAAAUGUAUUUCGAGAAACAAGCACUUAACAUCUACUUUGAAAACCGUCUAAAAGAACACUUUGAUGUAAAAAGUGAAAGUUGGGAAUGCAAAAAAGUUGAGAAUUGUAUGUAAUUUACCAUUUUAGUGGGCUGUUAAGUUUUUCAAAUUUUAAAGCCUAGAUAAAGGAUCACAUUUGGUGGUAAAACUUAAUCACAAGAAUAAUUUACCAAAUAAUUAUUUUAUUUUCAAAAUAAUCGACAUUACUCGAUGAUGCAUGAAUGACCUUCUAUAUCUUUCCACCUAUAUCAAAGAGAGAGGCCUCUGAUAUAGGCCCUGUAUCACAAGGGGCCGAGCCACCUAUCAGAGGGGCUAGCUCGGCCCCCUGUGAUAUAGGGCCCUCAAAGAGAAAUGUCCUUGGUAAUUGAAAAUAUCUAUAUCAAAACCUAUCUAUUUAAUUGAAAAUAUCUCAUUCAAUUUUUCUACGCGUCAACUUAAAAUUUUCAAAAUUUCUACGCGUCAACUUGGUGUACCACAAGUGGGCCGCUUUCCUUUGGCCACCAGUGGCGGAUCCAGCACCCGGCGAGCCCCCGGGGCCGCCCGUGUUGGAUCGCCGGAGCUCAAUUUUUUUUGCUGUCCAAGUAUUUAUUUGUUUAGAUAUAUUUCUGUGAUUUCCCCCAAUUCACACCAACUCCUUGUUGUUCAACUGGUUAGAGCGCCACAGUGGUGAAAAGGGCGUCCAAGGUUCGAUUCUCUAUUGUUGCAUUCCCUUUUUAAUGAUUUUAGUAUAAUAUUUUUCACCAUUUUGGAGCAAAUAGGCAUUAAAAUUGGUGCAAAAGGAAGAUUCGAACCUGUGAUCUCCAUUAGAAUAAUGGACAAUUUGACCACCAUGGUAUUUAAUGGAUGUUGACAAUGCAAAGCAACAAAAGUCUAUAUAUUCUUUUAUCCCAAUGAUAUACACCCUCCUUUUUAGAAAAAUAAAAUUCAACCAUACAGUUAAAUUAUUAAAAUAAUCAAUUUUUUUUUUAUUAAACUGAAAUUAUUAGUGGAUCGAAUCAAGAAAGUAAAUAAUUGGACAAAUUUUCAAAUUUCAAAUUGUUACUCAAUAAACAUUAUUACAAUGGUAGAUAACGUACACUCACACUUAUAAUUCAAACUACGAUAUAAGCCCUAAUUUGACCCCCAUUAAAACUUAUCAAUUUAAAUUAAAAAAAUUUCUUUUCUAUUUUCAACCACACAAUUUUCAAUAAAAUAAUAUUACACGUAAAUCGAAAACUUUUCAUUCUUUUACAACUAUCAAUUUUUAAUUUUUUCAGAAAAACAUUAUUUCCCCAUUAUAAAUCCAAAUAAUGGGGGCCAAACGGGGGCUAAGUAAUUUCAACUCACGGCAUUGGUUAUUAUUGCGACUGUCGACAGUCAACGGCCGCCCGUGCUCAAUUAAAAUCCUGGAUUCGCCACUGUUGGCCACCCCAAAUAAAUCCCACAAACUUUGUUCCAUCCAUAUACAUAUGUGGAUGAAAAAAAAAGAAGCUCUUCAAAUAUUUUAGUUCACAAUACUUUUUAGUUGAUUUUUAGAUAUGACCCACUAAUGAACAUUUCCAAUACUAGUCUAUCAAAAAGUAAUUAAAUAAUUCAACAAUGAAUAAUAACUAUAGAAAAAUAAAGACCGUUCAAUGUAUGUGAUCGACAUCAUUUUCACAUGCGGUAGUUUAUCGAAGAAAAUAAAAAGAGAUUAAUCUUGGUAGAUACCGUGCGGUGAGUCUUAUCCAACUGCUCGACAUUGAUAUUUCAGUUUGAUUCACUUAUGUUGAUUGUUUUAUAUGUUGUCCUCAUGUCUACCAAUACUUAGUUUGUGGAGCUUAUUCUAUGUUAUCAUCAACAUUAAUGUGUAGAAUUUAAAUAUCUAAUUGUCUCAAUUAUAAAUGAAUUUAAUCAUCUUCCUAUCAUAACAAACAAUUUACAUACAUAUGUAUCACAAUUUUGAGUAAAAAAUGUUAAGGGAGAACCCGAAUAAUACGUAUAAUUAUUUUUUCAUAUUCAUAGUACAUGAAAAAAAAAGAACUUUUCUACUUGUACACGGGGGUGAGAAACAAGAAAUAGAUUUUGAAAUAGACAUAUAAUUAUUUGGCUAGCUACUAAAUAUUUUCUUUUAUUUCUAUUUUCGCCAUUAUAUAAUCUUAUUAAUGCUUAGAAAUAUUAUUUUUACUAUUUACCUCCAACUAAACUGUGAUAGAAGGUUUAGAUUCACAAUCAACCGAGCAUCUAACAAAAAACAAAGCAUAUUUAUAAAUUAUUAAUAUUCAGCAGUCAAAUUAACUAAUUAAACUAAAUUAAGGGUAAAAUAUAGAAAUAAUAAUGAAAUUGUUUAAAAUGUCCACUUUUCCCUGAUGAAUGUCUAGGCACAAGAUCUCUAGGCUACUGUUUAAAAUGUCUACCGAAUAAAAAUUAUUUUUGGUCAAUUAGUGGUGUAAUUACUUGAAUGAAUUAGAAUGGAAGAUUAGCCCCUAAGCUUUAUUCUUUAAAAUUCAUAUUUAAUCACACAUUUUUAAUAAACUAAAUAUACACGAAAUUCAAAAAAAUUUCAUACUUUAUAACCAUACAUUCGUCAAAAAAUGAAUUCUGAAAAAUGGGGUUGAACAAUGGCUUAAUAUAUAUGUACAAUGCUUCCUAAUCAUAUCUAGAAGAAUAAUGAUAUUCAUCAAUAGUGUUGAUGAGGCUAUUAUAACGAAUUUUUUUUCAUAAAUUAAAAUUUAUUCCAAUUUCAUAAGAAUACUUGACAUUUAUCCACGGUCACAUAGACUGUGAUAUUUAUGAAUCGUGCUUACAAAUAACAUUACUCUGCUAUUAAUUUCAGAAUCGCCAUAGGAUAUAAAAUUGCACAUACUUAUUGUACAUUCACUUCGGCAAUCUUGAAUUACAAUUUUAACUCUAACAGCAAUUAUUGACCCGUCAAUUUUAUUGGAAAUUUGGUGCUAUUUCCAUAUUCAAACAAAAUAUCUUAUAGGAAAAUAGAGAACAAUGACAAUAAGAAGAAUACAAAUGCUGAUGUAGAAAACUUUGAAGUUGGAAAAUAAUUUAGUAAUCAUAAGAAUAAAUAUUGCACUACAAUCACAUUUAAUGCAUCUUUAACUACAAGGUUGAACAUCUUUAAGAGACUAAAUAUAAUAUAUUAAUCUCUAUUUAGAGAGUUAAAGCAUAAAAAUAAGUUUUAACAUACUUUUUUUUCUUUUUUUCUUUUCAAUAAGCUAGUUUGAGCCACAUAAUAUUUUUAAGAAUGCAUUUUUGAAUAGUACAUUGAUGAAAAAUGUGUGGUUAAAAAAUAAAGAAAAGUUUUGAAUUUGCGGGUAAUAUUAUUUUAUUGAAGAAUGUGUGACUGAAAUGAUGUCAAAUCACUACUUAAAAAUGUAUUUUUUUGAAAAAAUGUGGCUCAAAUAUAGCCAUAUUUUAAUAUUCUACUUUUUAAAUUAUUCAAUUAUAUUUGAAUUGAUUGACCAUUGACAAUAUUUUACCUUCUAAAUUUAAAGAUGCUCUUUAUUAUACAUAUGAUGAUGUAUAUAAAAAAAAGUCUCUUGAAAAGGCAUAAAAUGUGGCAAGACAUGAAAUUCAAGCCUUAAGAAAAUAGAUGUAAUAAAAUAUUUUUUUUCUUACCAUGUACGUAGUGAAAAGCAACCUACUUUCUAAUAUUUUAUUGAAAAGGUUUUUUUAUUGUAAAAUUUCUUAAAUAUGCUCGUAUGAAACAUCAAUUUUCUUACAAAUAAAGAUGGAGAUAUAUAUAGAGAGAGGGAGAAGAAGUAAAUUUUUUUGAAUUAUGGAAGAAAAGUAGUUCAAUAUGAAAGCAUGUGUUCGUUCUUUAUCUCCACACCUAUGCUUAAAUAGCAAAAUUUCAUAGUUGUCUACCAAUCUACAAACAUUGGACUUAAUUUUAAAUAAUGGCUGUAUUUGUCAAUUGAAAAUUUUACUUUUCCAUUCUAAUUCAUUAUUUAAUGAAACCAAGUGUGCCCAUGUUCUUUGAUAAAAGAAUAUAGAACUGCUAACAUUUUUCGGAAGUGCAGGUAACUCGGGCACUGCAAGCAACCCUCCUUCAUGGCUUGAUGACUGUUCAGACAGUUUCUCAAACCUUCUCAAUUUUCGCUUUCGGAAGCAAGGUACCAUUGAAUUUGAUUGCUUAUACCAUAUAUAGCACGUAAUUUGAAAAGUUGGACUUCAAAAAAUAUUGACAAGUUCUCCUUGAUAGAAAAUAAGUCGUCAUUUGCUCCCACGGGCACGGGGCAAUGAUAAAAUAGGAGGAUUCUCCAAGGAGCAUCCCGCAGCUGGAAGACAACAUUUAUGUUGGAAGGCAGAUGUCCCAUGGAGGCAAAGUUAUAAUGGGCUUUGUCCUCCUUCUGGGGUUUUGUUCGCACGUCGUAAAGGGAGGUACACAGAGAGGAGAAUCGCAUCUUGAACAUCCGACUCAAGUGUGUAUGAGCUGUGACCGCAUCCGAAUUUACCCGGGUGGGGAAUUGGAAGAAGACCGCCACUCCUCAGGAUUAGUCGGGCCAAACUCAAGCACCCCAUAAAAAAAGUCGUCAUUUGGUCAAAUGGAUACUGUUUCUUUACCUCAAAUAUUUGGAGAAAUAGACCCCUCAAUAGAAUGAAUAUAAAUAAAAAAUUAGCCAGUCCACUAGAAAUUGGCAUAUAGAGAAAACGAUGUUGCUAUUAGGACUUUUUUUUUUUUCAGAACUCUCUUCUAUGCUUUAUUCUUUUUACUCUAUUUUGGUUCUUAGCACGUAGGUUGCACAACCAUUUUACAUAAAUAAUCAUUGUUUCUUUGUCAAGCUGCAGUUCAAAUAUUGUGUACUCAGGGUAUUGUGUUGGAUUUUUAAAAUUUCUAGGGAGGAAUGUGACUAGGUGAAAUUCAGUUUUGCACCUCAUUCUCUUCAUAGUGACCUUUUUCCAUCCUUGUUGGAAAUGAUUGCUCAUAUUCUUUCAAUUCUUCCUAUAAAAUUUGCAGUUUGAACCGUCAUUCUGUUCUAGGCGCAACAAUAUUUCGACGUUUAUUACCAAUCUCGAUUUUGAGGAAAAUGCUUUGAAUGCAAGAAAUUCUGCUUAUAUGAUAUAUCAUCAUUAAGUAGUUGUACAUCAAAACAGAUUGAUAGGUUCCGUUUAAGAAAAUAUGGUUGUACAUCAAAGUAUUUCCAUCAUUCCAUGGAUUAAAUUUACAGGUGUGGCCAUUUGUAGUUGUCAUAAAAAUAUGGAAGUUGCUAUAUUCUAUUGCAAAAUAACCAUGCUAUACAUAAUUCAAAAUCAGUAGCCAGUAGUUAUAUCCCAGUACAUAGAAACAGAAUUUCAUAUAUACUUCAACAAAUAUGAAGCAAAUGAAUAGAAUGUUUUGUACAAGGAAAGAAUCACUACUAUUAAAUUAAUAAUUUUACAGACAGCCAGUCAUGAUUAUGCUCGUCUUCUUGUGCAAAUCAUGGUCUUUAAGGAAUCCAACAUACAGGUUCGUCCUGCUCGUGUCACUCUCGGGAAGUGUCGCGUUUCGACCACCUUCUGACAUGUUCUUCACAAAUUCAUCGAACUUGCGGCAAUUCUCAGCUUCGAACAAUCGUUUAUUCAUUCUUAGAUACGUAAAUGCAGCGAGUCCAUUUCCAGAAUCUGAAUGGCUAGUUCCCAACACCUGUGAAUAUGCGCCAGAAUCAUACCUCUCCAGAGCAUUUUCUCCAGCAAGUUGUGUUCCAGCAGAUUUGGUAGCCAUCUUCACUUGUCGAACUAGACCUUCAGGCGAGCAAUUUGCCCUCUCUGGCUGUUCUUCGUCUCUCAUUUCCAUACACGUAAAAUUGAGCACCACUCCACGUUUACUUAACAUUCGUGCUAUUGCCGAAUAACCAUCUCGAUUCCUAGUAUUGUAGUAUCCAGCAGUUAAUUCAGCUGCAUGUGAUCUUGUGUUGUAGUGCCAAUGAAUUCCAGCUACUUUUCCUGAUAGUAUAGCUCCGGUUCCUUCGAAUAUUCUUUGUGCAGCUGACAGGAUUUUAUCUCCGUGCUCGACUAGCUUACCAGAAUACCAUUCUAAGAAAAAAUGCCCAUAUUCAGUGUUCCAUGUGCCUUCCCUUUGGAAAAACCCCGUUUCUUCCGGUAAUUGGUUGUAUAGGCCUGCGUCGUGAGGGCCUUCGAGUCCCCAGUCAGUCUUCCCAAUCGCCUCAGCCGCAGCUGCCAAUGAGGCUCUCAUGUACUGUUUUUACAUAACAAAUGUUCAACUUAAUGCAUGUUUGGUCAAUGAUGAACAAGAUUUUAGCUACUCAUUUUUGAUAAGUAUGUACCUUGUCAUAGCAUUGGAAUUCACCAAUUCCUGGAAAUCUCCAAGUGCCAUUGCUUUCUGGAUAGGAUGGAUAUCUUAGCUCUCCACAAGGCCCCAACCCCACUUGAAUUUCCUGAAAUAAUAGAAACUAACUUAAAACUACUACGAUAAUGAGCAUAACUAUCCAAGAAUGUUAAAAAUGGCUUACCACUAUAACAUUUCCCAAGCAUUGGUGGAAUCUCUCUCUAAAACUCCUCAUAUAAUCGGAGUAGACCUGAAUCGGAGUUCGACCUCCUAGCACAGGCAAUGAAUCGCAGCCCAACGAUAUAUAUUCAGGGUUGCGUCGCCCUGAUUUGUUGGUGUACACAAUAUCAGGAUUAUUGUUCAUUUCUUCAAGCACCCAUGGAGGUAGAGGGAUGCUGCAAAAAUACAACAUAAACUAUUUAUUAAGUCACAAAAAUGGCCGUCACACUUAACAUUUCUAAAUAAUCUUAUGGUUUCUGCUUAAAAAGUUCAUUAAAAAGCUGAUUAAAAUCUAAAUCAGAAUUUUAAUCAUGCAUUCCAACUACUUUACCAAAAUUUUCUACAAAUCUGAUUUUUAUCUGAACCAGACGAGGGCUAUAUAUAUAUACACACACACACAAGUAGAAGGGAUUAUGCGUAAUUUAAGUGAAAAAAAUGGCAAUUGACUUCCUAUUACAUACCUGCAAGAGUCUCCAACAUUGCCACCGCAUUGAUGAAAAGACAUAACAACUUGAAGUUUCAAACCAAGCUUUUGCACCAUCUUUACAAGCUCAGCAUAUCCUUCCCAGUUAUAUUUCAAAGGUCCUUCUUUCUCCACCAAUCCCCACCACACAUCAACCAUGACUCCCUCGACUCCUGCAUUUUUCAAUGCAAAUAAACUAGCAUACAUCGUCCUCACUUUGUUGAAACUCCCUCCAAUCGAUAUGGUAUCGAGUGGUAGCAUUACAAAAACAGGUACUCUCAAACCAUUAUGGCUAUGAGGGGCUACUAGCUCAUGAAGUCUCUCACUUUUCUCACUUUUUCUUCCUUGUAACAAUGAUAAUCGAGUCGCUUCGUGCAUUGCACUCUUUGCAUGGAGCUUGCACGACAACAGCUUAGUUUG
rnacentral:lncRNA from 1 species